UGGUGUUUGCUUUGUUUUUGUUUGCCAUUAGCUUGGUGCCAUGGCUAUUUACAAUCAAUGCAUGUUAUUUCUUUGUUGCCAUACUGCCUAAUUUCAUGCUGGUAUGCUCCAAAUUCUAUGACUUUUGUGGGCCAUGAAUGAUAUGUUCCCUGUUUUCAUGUCGGCAUGCUCUCAUUUUGGUCUUUGUGGGAUUUUGAUUAAGUGUUGUGAUCAAUUUGGUCGCUACUCCCAAGUUUGUGGUUGCUUAUGCUGAAAAACGAAAACAAGAGAAAUCAAAACAUGAGCUGGGGACUGUUGGGACUAUGACUUCUUGGUCCUCUUACAUCGAUGAUUGAAAAUCAUCCACCAUGCUCCAAAAAAAGUGUUAGGAAAGGAAAAAACUAUGGUUGCUAGUGAUGAGGUUUUAAAAUGGUAAUCCUCUGAUUUCUCUGCUCUAACUUUUGUGCUAGAAGAUCAUUUGACAUGAUCCAUGAUAUGGGUUGCUUAGAUUAGCAGCAUGUCUUGCUACCUAGGGGUUAUGAAUUGUUGGUCCCCUGAAUCACAUUUUCUAAUUUUCUAAGCCUGGAUUGUCUUAUUUUAAAGCUUGUUGUAGCGUACAUCUAUAUAGUUGCAUGUUUUAGGGGCCCUAGAAUUUGUGUUUGUUAUUCUGUGCAUCUCGAUGAUCCAUGUUCACUCUCAUCAUCAUAGAUUCACUAAAUGGUAGGGCCGCUAGAAUCUGGUUAGCUGAUACAAGUGAUCCAAACCUUGUGUCCUUGCAUAGAUAUGAUGAUUUGAUAAGCAUUUACAAUAGAUCAACCAUGCUAGUUCUAGAAAUUGUUGCUAUGAAGAAUUAUAUCAUGCACCCUGGAUUAUAUCUUUGAAUUAGGAUUUUUCACUCAUUCAUAAGUAUUAAUGAGUAGUUUGUAGCUCAAUGAUGGGUGAGUGGCCUUGUAGAGGUAAUCUUCUCAUUUACCAUCUCAGAUUGAUCCAUGUUAAGAAAUCAUGCAACAAACCCAAUUGAUGUCAAUGUUUGGCAAUGGAUUACUAAGUCUAUCAAUAGUGAGCUAGGAACCAAUAACAGCUUUCAAUAUCUGAGUGCUCAUCUAUGAGUUUUGAUGGCGAAUAUUUGCUUGGAUACUUGAAAUCCUUCACCUCAAUCAUGAUGAACUGAAAGCCAUGAUCACAUCAAAACCAUGAUCUCGAUGACAGUUGCGCCCACUUAGCCAUGAUUGCAUGAUCAAAGCAAUUACAACUGUAGUACAACAUAAAUAUUUGUUACUGCAUGGUUAUGGCACGAUAGAGACCGUUAUUGGACAGUUAUCCCACAUCCCAUCUAUCUCGAUAAUGGUCACAAGUCUUCCCCCAUAAAUAGUGGGAGCCAUGGGAUCCUCAAAUAAGUUCUUUUUUCCACCACAUUCUUCAUUCUAUCUCUUCCACUAUUUCCUAGAAUUCGACUGACUUGAGUGUCGAAGGAUCCUCACUGAAAAAUCUCUAGCAAAACGACUUAAUUUUCACAUCAGCCCAGCUUCAAAUGAGUCCAGACUACCACAUCUCCAAGUGUCCCUGCCUCAUCAUUCUUUAAAGCUUCACCUGCAAGGGCAUCCAACCAUGUUGUCACCUUGUACAUUUACUAACCUCAGCUAUCAUCGGUAACUGUAACUAAGCUACCUUCCUCAAUGUUGCAAGAAACGCUCGGCAUAAUAUGUUGUCGGUAGCAUCAUAAAGUAUCAUAAGAGUUUUAAAGCUCUCCAAAUAGUCCAGGGGCUUGGUGGUUCUAUCAUAAGUCUCCAAUUGAGACAUUUUUAAUCGAGGUGAGAUCGGUUCGUCCUAUAUCUUCUAAGAAAAAGGAGGCUCUAGCUUAAAAUCAUGCUCAUUAGGGUGUGCCAGCAUUUGCCCCUUCUAAGCUUCUAUCUGCUGAUCCAUUUCUCGAAGCUUCGGACCGAUAUCAGUAUCUCACCUGAAGAGGACUCUAUGCCAGAGUGAGGACUCAAUGAACAUCGCCGAUCACUCCAAUCAAGAUUCCUUGGCCGAGUACGCUGACUUGGUUGAGCUCAUCUAGAACUCUGUGAACAAGAGCGAUGACUAGGAGGUUGAACCAGGGCCAAACUCGGGUUGUUUAGUUGUUGGUUCGUAGUAGCUUGCUAUACCUUGAACUACUGCAGUCAAAGUUUGCCCCUGUUGCACAAGCAAAUUGAACUGCUCGAGAGUAACAGAUGCUGGUGGCUGAGAUGGAGGAAUCCGAGAUGGGCUUGUUCGAGAGGCAUCAGCUUCAAGGUAAGCCUACUGAAGAGAUGCAUUCAAAGCUCCUCAACUCUUUCGUGACCUCGUAUUGUUGGCUUUCAUUUUAUCUUCCUAGUAGGGUGGUAAGUGCCCCUACUAUAGUACCAAAUUGUUGCCACUAGAAUCCAAGAUUAGCUGAGGUUGGUAAAUGUACGAGUUGAUGUAGUCAAAUGCCCUUCAGAAUAAAGUUUUGAAGAAUAAUGAGACAAGAAUACUUGCAAAUGUGGCUAUCUGAAAUUCUUCAAAUUUGGAUUGAUCUGAAAAUCAAAUCAUCUUGUUAGAGAUUUUCUGACUGGGGACCCUCCGAUGCUCAAGUCAGUCAAAUUCUAGGAAAUAGUGGAAUAAAGUGAAAAAUACUAUUGAAAAAAGAACUUAUUUGAGACUCCUCUGAUUUCCACUAUUUAAUAGGAAGGUCGUUGAUCGUUACCGAGAUAGACAGGAUGUGUGAUAACCGUCUGACAACAGUCUCCAUCGUGCUAUAACCAUACCGUAAUGGAUAUCCACAUUAUGCCAUAAUUAUAACUAUUUUAAUCAUAUCAUGGCUAAAUGGGUGCAACUACUACCGAGAUCGUGACUUUGACAUGAUUGUGGUUUUCAAUUCGUUAUGACUUUGAGUAUCCCAAGGUUAAAUUAUAUUGAUUUACUCCGAGGUCAGGCAAACAAAUAUUCACCAUAUCGAUUGUUUUCUAAAAGAUUAUAUUGUUUGAAUUUGUAAUGAGUUCACCAAAUGACCAUGUAUAGAACAAUCCAAAAUAUGAGCACUUUUAAGAUAAGAUAUUCCUCUGGUACAACAUUCUAGGGGAGCUAUGUACCACAAACAUUGCCAUGAGAAAGAGGGGGGACAUUUUGAAGCUUGGGGAUCCAAGUGCUCUUGUUGGAAAAUCAGACAAUGAUGAGUCAUCCGAUGAAUAAGGCCAUAAGCAUGGCCAAGGUCAACAUCAGGGAUCCUGUUGCAUCAUCCUUCGUGGCUACAGAAAUCUAGCUUGGGGAGCCAACAAAGGUCCCACCAUCCCAUCCACCAUCUCGUAGCCCUAGUGUUGGAAAGGCCAUCUACACCCCCUGUGUGGCCGCCAGUGGCUCUUCAAAGAAGAGGUUGCUAGAGAUGUCCUUGGAUUCUUGAGGCAGUCAACAUAGGACUUCUCCCAAGGAGGUGGUUGCCAUGUUGUUUGAGCAAGUGGAUAUUAGCUGGUAAAGGCUAGAGCUAUCAUGUGAGAUUUUCCUAUUGAGGCCUAAAUCCUAUACCAUGCAAGAGUACAUGGCUAGAUUGGAUAUCAUUCUAUCAUGCUAUGAUCUCUUCGAGAAUGAGGAGAAACACUUUCAGAUGCAAUUUGAGUGUAUACUAGGGUCAAUUGCUCAAUCAUUAUGUAAGCCUCGUGCACCAACCCCCCCCCCCCCGAAAAAAACCUAACCUCCUCCUACNNNNNNNNNNNNNNNNNNNNCCUAGGACCCCACAUAGGCUUGAUGAUGGAUUCCACCACCCUCUAGACAUGGACUAUCUAGUUGUUCUUGCUGAUCUGGAUCCAUUAGUUGGAUGUCAUGUUUGCUUGAGACUACUAAUAUUGUUCCUCUAUUAUGUAACUAUUUACCUAUUCAUGUUGUGGACAUGACCAUGGGUUGUAGAUACAACUCUUAACUUUGGACCUAUAUUUUGUCAUGAAGUGCAUUUGUGACCCUAUCAUCUAUGAUGCCGAGUUUAGAAUUUGCUUGUUAUGUCAUGCCUGGUGCUCUUGCUUUAUUUCAAUUUGUUGUGGUCUUUGCUUGCAAAUGGGUAUUUUGUUUCUAUUAUUGGGACUCUACAAUAUGUAACUCACGCCUAACAUGUGCCUGUUCUUUAUCAUGUAACUAUGUCACAAUCAUGGAUCAUAUGGACUUCCUAACGAAACCCUUGGUUAUGUGGAAGAAGAAGGAUGAAUUGUGGGAUGAUGUCAGACCAUUAUUGCUGCAAAGUGGCAUAGUCAUUAUGCCAAGGACCAUUUACAGAACUCCUUCUACGACCAGAUCAUUCACAUGGUACGAACUACUUUAUGACAUAAUACAAGAGCACCUAGAAAAAGGGUAUCAAGGCAACACUUCAGGAUGACCACCACAAUGUUUACUGCCUCCGCAAUGAAUUGGACUCUCAGGGCUUUAUGGCAAAUACCCAGCAUAUACCACUUCCAAGCAGCUAGUCACUCCUUGUUUUGUGUGGGACAUGGCGUAACCAAUAGGAUCCUAGCUGAAAUAUUCUAGCACUCUACGUAACAUAAACCAGCAUUUUAACAACAUGUUGAGGGUCGUUGCUGCUUUGAAAUUCAAUUAUAUCGUUACCUCGAAAGGCGAUGCACCAGUCUAUCCUCAUAUCGCCCAAAGUCCUAUUUUCUUCCCUGGUAUGCACUUGGGUAAUCAAUUCUUUCGAUCUUUUAUUAUCCCAUAUGAUUGUUGCUGAACAAGUCCAUAUUUCCUUGCACAACGCCAUAGCUGUCAUUAAUGGCAUGCGUCAUUGAUGGCAUGCACACCCUAGCGGUGGUUUGUAAGAGCAAGCAAGUGCUAUCAAAACUAGAAAGGGGUUCACAUUGCGAAAUGUCAUGGUCAUGUACCCUUUGGUUACCAAUUUAUGUUUGCAUACACUGGAUAGGAGAGUUCCAUAGCUGUUGUCAAGUGAUGUGAUGGUGCAUUGAAGAGAUAGGCUUCACCAUUGCACAUGGUAAUACACCUACUCCAGACAUUUGUUACAACAUGCCUUAUGACCACUUCUCUCGGCACUCAUCAACUCCGGCUACACCAACACAAAUAAGUUUAUAGCUCCAUAUCAAGGGCUAAGGUACCCCUUGAGUGAAUAUCGGGGACCACAAAAAAGGACCUACCAAGAUAGGUUUAAUCACAUGCAUGUACAGCUUAGGAAUGCUCUUAAAAAGACUUUCAGAACUCUCAUGCACCACACCAAGGUCUUGCAGUCUGUCAUGCCCAACCAUUUGAGGGUGUAGAGGAACAUUGUCAUGGUAUAUUGCAUGAUCAAUAAUUUCAUAAAAGGCAACCAGGGUAAUGACAAACAUUUCAAUAUGAGGAUAGAAGAUCCGAACAAGGAUGCUGGGGACAUCCAGGAUGACCAGCUCGUUCUCGUAGGUCCAAACGAGAGGCAGAGGGGCACGACUAUGUAAGAUCAUUACACAAGAACUAGCUAGGGACUCUGGAUCCAACAAUCGGGCAAUAUUUAUGUGUUAUUAUGCUUUUUUUUUUUCAAUGUUUUCUGCAGGCCACCAAACAGGACAGGGAACAAGGGGAUGGAGUGUAGGGGGUUCUGCAACGCAUACCGGGUAUUUAUCACCAUGGCUAGAAUGUCAACAGCACGUCUCGAGCUUCUUGCAUACCCUUUAUGAGAAGUAUCCAACAUAUGAGAAGGCAUUGUUGUCGUACAGUACAUCUUCUCCAGCACACGAAAGGUUCUGAGGAUGGAGAUCAAGAAACACGCCAGCAAUGACACAAAGGCCGAUUCUAGUGUCAAUAUUGCUAGCUACAUAUGCCAUUGUCUCGUAGUGUCCAUUGCACUGCUAUUCAUACUGCUCAUUGUAGUUAUUGUCGUUCAUACCAGUUUCUAACUUAUCCUAUUCUGAGAAAUAGAUAAUAUCAUGUUGUUCGAUUGUAUGACUUAUCAUCCCCCUUUGAGCCCGCCACUCUUACUGGUCAAAAGUGAGGCCUCUAUCUAUAUGAUGCUUAUCUUAUAUUUCACUUUUACUAUUUUAUGUUCUUUUUUUGGUUGAAAACUACAUUAUGUUCUUCACAUUGCGAGAAUGUAUUCAUGGAUAAAAGUGGCAAUGAUAAUAUAAUGGUUAGUAGAGAUCCAUGUUUGGAAUGAUCUUGCAUCCUCAUGGUGGGCAACCGCAUGGAUCCCAGUGAUGACUAUCAUGAUUGAGACAUGAAUACAUUGAACAUUUCCAUGUGCUAGCCUAUCCAUAUGCAAGGUCAAAUAUGCUACAUGUAAUAUAUUGUGGAAAAAAUUGAAGAACAAUCAGCAAAGUUGCCUAUUCAUGUCAGUUUACAGUCAUGUGUUUUUGAGAUUAUUUUGAUAACUUUUGGCUAAUAAAAUAAUAUGGUGAGCAAGAGUAUAUUGGGCAGUCAGUGCAUAGUUGAUGCGAUGGUGAAGUUCUUAGCCAUUUUCAUCCACAUUUAGACAAUGCAAUAGGGCACUAUUGUCCAUAUAGCAAAAAAAAAGGGGGUUUAACCAUUCUCUUUGCAACCAAACACCAUUUUCACCAUCCCAACAAGAUGGUGUGGUUAACUGAGUAGCAGCCACAGCACUUCAACUAGCCCUAUGGUUAGCUGGUUAAGGGGGUGGUUUCAAGUGCUUAACUUUAACCACCCCUCAGUUAGCCACCCAAGACCAAACACAAACCUAGUGUUAUCAAGCACUAUCGGUGGAACUUGAACUCAUGUCAACCACUAUCAACUAUAUAUCUUCUCUCAUGCAAUCAUGCAAUUAUUUUGUAUAUAAUAACUUCCAGAAUCUAUAAUAAUUGAGAAGUAAGUCAACUUUAUAAAUAAGAAAAUAUAUCAUCAAAAGUCCUUUAAAAAAAAAAAUAGAAGCAUGAUAUAUAAGGAUGAGUCAACUUUAGAAAUAAGAAAAUAUAUCAUCAAAAGUCUUUUUAAAAAACUUAGAAGCAUGAUAAUAUAAGGAUGAUUCUAUUUUGAUGAGAAAUUCUGAUAAUAUAAGGUAUCUGAUUCCAAUCUAAAUGCAAUAUGGGCUUGAGGGCUUGAAUCAAGUUUGAGAGGUGCUAGGUUCCAUUACCAUACUCGAAAACAUUUCCAGUUCACAAUCUUCAGAUUAUACAGCAUGGAUCUUUUCUCCAAAAAGUUAUACUUAGUAAUAAUUUAAUCUCUAUUAAUAAAUUUAUAUUUAUAUAAUUUAAUUAUUUAAAUGUAUUAUACCGUGACACUUCUUCUACUAUCCAGGAAGCAUACAUCAAUCAGUAUCUUCCCUUUAAAAAAAAUAAUUAUCCAUCUAUAAGCUUCAUCAUCAACCCAAGAUGAUGCGUUGGCAACAGAUCCAAGUUGAUGUUAUUGGGGAGCUCCAAAUUCACCAAUUUCGCCAUUUAAUUCCCAAAUCAAAGAGAUUAGAACAAUUAUAUGAUGUUUGUUGAGCAAACUUCAACAAAGCCAUUAUAACAAAACACAUCCAGCAUCAAUAAAAAGAAAACAAGAAAGAUCACCUUUACCGGGAUUAACAAUAUAGAACAUAUACUAUCUUCCCAGGUUACAUCCAAACCUAAAUUCUCUGUCAUCAGGACGUCAAGAAAACCAUAUUAUAUCCAGGAACAAAAAUACUUUUCAAGAAAAGCAGUAUUAAUAUCAAGGAAAAGACAGGGAAAAUUUAAAAAGGAAAAGGAAAAGAAUUACCUUGGAUCGUCGUCUCCUGAGCAUCGCAAACCACGGCUCGCCGGCGAACCACCCUCGAUCCCGACGCCCCAUUCGCUGAGGCCGCUGCCUUCAGAGGACGCGUUGCGAUCCUCAGGCCCUUGAAUUCCGGCAGAAGCCCCACUCCUCGGCGGCCGAGAGGAGAGCAAGCCGCCGCCCCCCUCGAAGCGGAAGCCGGCGGUAAACCGUGAUGAGGAUGGGGAACCGUCAGCGAAUCGAGGACGAUGGUGGCCAUGGAGGGAAGGAGAUAAGGCGAAGAGGGUUUCGGGGAUCAAUCGAGGCACGCCAGACCUACAGACCUUGGAUUUGGGGAGGGGAGAGAGAGGGUACACUACGGGGUGCGUGGAGAUCUCGCUAAUGUAAUCCUUAAUCCGUUUGGCUUGCCUCCGCCGGUUGUUGGGUUUCACGUUUAGUAAAGUUGUCACGCUCCUAUCUCGAUUUUUGAUCUAUUUAAUAAAACAGAUCCGAUUCAAAUUGAUAAUUUUUUCAAUCUAUCCUGCAUUUGGUCCCACCGGAGAUGAUCAAAUAUCAGGUCACGCUCUACAUUAGAAAUUAGGCCCGCGUAUUCGGGCUUGAUCCAAAUGUCGAGCAUGUAUUUUUCAAUCCAAACCCGACCCAAUCUUAAAAGGUCAACAUCAGGCCUACCAAACUCUUUGAUGUUGGUAAUAUUAAUUAUCAUAUAGUAUAAAAUUUUAUUAUUAUAAUAAUUAAUUAAUUAAUAUAAUUAAUAUUAUAUAUUAUAUAUAUUAAAUAUAUAAUUAUUAUAAGUAGAGUCAGAGAUUUUUUUUAAAUAAUAUAUUUUUAAUAAAAUAUUUCAAAAAUACCGUGGUUCAAAAAUUAUUUACCAAAAUACCGUGGGAGUGGCACGUCAAAUAAAUUCAUGGGUUCAACCCACGAAUUCACUAUCCACGUGGAUAAUUUGUGGGUUGAAUCCACGAAUUUUUUGAUCCAUCUAGCUUUCAUGCGUGAAUUUUGAAAUUUGAAUUCAUGAGUUGGAGCCACGAAUCAACCAAAUGAAUUCGUGGAUCCAACCCACGAAUUCAGAUAUUCAUGCGUCCAACCCAUGAAUCCCUCAACGAAUUUUUUUUUUUUGAAAUUUGAACAAAAUUCGUGGGUUAAACCCAUGAAUUCAAUCCACGAAUUCUUGAAUUCAAAUUCAUUUGAAAUUUUCUACCGUUGAAUGAAUUCGUGGGUUCAACCUAUGAAUUCAUUUGAAAUUUUCUACCGUUGAAUGAAUUCAUGGGUUGAACCCACGAAUUCAAAAAAUCGUGGUUCCAACCCACGAUUUCAUUGUCUUUAAAUCCACCCCCCACCCUCUACUCUUUAUUAAGAUUUUUAGAAAUUUUCUUGCAUUUAGUCCAUAAAUUCUAAUCCUCCUUCUUAAAACCGAUUAUGGCUUCAAAAAAAAGUAGAGUUUUGUCGAAAGGAAAGAGGGCUCGAGUAGAGAAAGAAAAGCAACCAUCUCGUAGGUACGAAGAGUCCUUUUUUCUAAAUAGUGAGUGUAGUGAAAAAUUUUAAUUAAAUUUUUUUGAAAGAAAAAUUGUAGGAGGUAGAAUAGUCGAUUUAAAUAGUUUUAAUGAUUUUUGUAUUAAAUUUUUGUUUGAAAAGUUAGGUUGGUUAUCUAUGAUUAUGCUCAACAAGCUAACGUAUCUUACUCUGGUUCACUAUUUUUAUAGUAAUUUUAGUUUUAAUAGUAAGUCUUGUUCCAUUUCAUCGUAUGUUAAAGAAUAAUUGAUCGAAUUUGACUAUGAAGUUUUAGAUCAAAUUUUGGAUAUUCCAUCAGAUAGUGAUAGAUUUUUCAAUAGUAGUACUGUUUGGAAUCAUCCAGUAUUAGACUAUGCUUCCUGUAUUAGAACUAUUUUUGACGACAAUAUAAGUGCGACCGCUAAACUUGAUGUAAAUCUAUUACCACUUAAAACUAGGUUAAUCCAUCAUAUUUUUACGUUUAAUUUUCUGUCCAGAGGAGGUCAUAGAGAACAUGUAUCAUAUUUAGAUGUGUAUCUCCUCAGAAUGGUUCUUUCAGAUGAUAGAGUUAAUUUGUCCUAUUUAAUGAUGUUUUAUAUGAAUAAAUAUUUUCAAAGUUUAAAAACCACCUUGCCAUAUGGAACUGUUCUGACUGCUAUAUUCGAGGCAUUUGAUGUCCAUAUCACGGCUGAUGAUGAAGUUGUCAAGGUUUAACGUAGUGAUAUUUAUAAUUAUGCAUCUCUGAGGCAUAUGGGGUAUGUAUUUCAUGAUGGGGUAUGGAUGCGUACGUCUACAAUAGAUGAAGAAGAAUAUUGCGGUGAAGGAGGUGGUCAGCCUACUAAUAGAGAGUAGCCUACACAUGCUAUAUAGUCCAAUCAGCAGUCAUCUGAUAGCAUGCAUUAUCUGCUCGUAUAGAUGUAUUGGAGAUAUUUGUUAGCGAGAGAUUUGCACAUUGGAUUCUCGGCUAGAUGAGGGAUUUGCACAGAUGGAUGUCCGAUUAGAUGAAGAAUUUGGAUGAUUUGAUCAGUUCGUACAGUAUUUUUAUCGUCAAUUUUCUCCACCACCACAGGACCCUACUCCUGAUGAUUAAACUUCAGCGAUUAGUAGCAGUAUGCGAGGCUUCACCCAAAGAUCUGUCAUCUUUUUAUUUAUUUUUAGAUAAAUAUACUUUGAUUUGAUGUAAGCAUAUGUACCUUUCUUUUAUUGCUAUCAUUUUAGAUUAGAAUUAUGUGAAAUUUAAGAUAUGAUUUUGACAGCAAAGUGGUUAAUCAAUAAUUAAUAUCCAAUCAAUAAUUAUAAAAAAAUUAAGUAAAAAAUUUUAUAAUUUAAGAAAUAUAUUGAAAAUUGAUCAGGGUGGUCGACCACCUGAGGAAAUCGAUCGAUCGAGGCCCACCGAGCCGAUCGGUUGAGCUCGGAACCUUAGGUCAGUCGACCACUGUGGCACGCAAGCCAUGCCAAAUCGAUAGACCGCCUGAGAAUUUCGAUCGAUCGCAGCCCAUCGAGCCGACCAAUCGAGCCCGGAACCUUAGGUCGAUCGACUAAGAGACCUUUUCUCUUUGCGUGCGGUCGACUGCCUUGUGAUUUAGAUCGACCGCUGUAGAUCGAGCCGAUCGAUUGAGCCCAGAUCGGCCAAUCCGAUCGACCAUUGUGCACUCAAAAUGUGCCACAGCAGUCGACCACCCGAUGAUUUCGAUUGAUCACUGUAGACCGAGCCACCCGAUCGACCCCAGUCUGCCUAUCCAGUUGAUCGCUGUGGCAUGCAAAAUGUGCCAAUGUGGUCGACCAUAGAAUGGAGCCGGUCGAUCGCUGGGUCAAUUCAAUUUUUUUUUUAUUUUUUUUAAUUUUUUGUUAAAUUAUUAGGAUCAUAAUUUUUUUAUUUGCUGCAUUGGAUUAGACUUUUUACUUUUUAGCCUUUUCAAUUUGUACCUCUUCUGAUAUAUUCUAUACUCUGAUUUUCAUAUAAAGUUGAACAGGCUGCCCAGGCUUGUUGGUUGUAAGAUGGUGGUCUGAUUAAAAUGAUAUGCAGUUUAAAAAUAUAAUGCACUCAUUGAUGCAGAAUUUUAAUCUAAUGAAAGAUUUUCAUUAUUUCGAUGUAAGUUUUGUUGUUGGAGCUACCAUACAAAGUCAGGAACAAGAAUCUGCUCAAACUUCACCAAAAUCAAAGCAACAUAAAUUCUUGACUCAAAUAUCCCAUUCAUGACUUUCAUAUCCAUACGUCCUACAAAUAUGAAAAAAAUAUAAAAAUAUAUACAUCAUGUGCCACAAGGCGGUCUUUGCUUCUUCCUUAUAGGUUGCACUCAACGACCCAUAGGUGAAACCUCACUCGAUCCUUCAGUAUGAUGCUCAUCCGGACCCUCAAUCGGACCAUCGUGCUCCUCGAUACGAUGCUCGCCCGAACCCUGAGUCGGACCCUUGUAUGACUUGAUACGAUACUCCAUCGGACCCUCAUUCGGUCCCUCGUACUCAACCGCUGCAUACUCAAAAUGUGCUGCAGUCUCCUUUAUGGAUUGAAACUGAGUCAUAUCGUCAUGCAUAUACAUAGACGAGGACAUAUAUUGACUGAAUGAUGGAAGAUCUAGGAUUGAAAUUGAUGAUGAACAAUAUCGUCUGGUACCUCCUCCAUGCAAUGUAGGUGCUCCUGAUGAUGAGGGAUGCAUGAAAGGUGAAGGAGUGGACUCUGUAGUGCCAUGGCCAUGAUUGUAUAUAUCAGUGGAGAUAUGAGCAUGCUGUCGGAUGGCGUGGAGGCCUGAAGUACAAAUAUCUUGGAUGAGUUGCUUGGAUGUCUAACAAGUCUAGAUGAGCCAAAUGAUGAAUCCUCACCAGACUAUCACUCUGACACAAACAAAGAAUGAGCAGUAGGCAAAUAAACAUGUGUUAAUCAUAAAAAAUUAAAAAUAAAAUAUGAAACUUUAUCAGAUAGUUAAUCAUCGUUCCACCACGAUAAAUGAAUCGAUGCGUAAUACGAUGAUACCACUCCAUGUAGUCAUCAUAAUAGUCCAUCAUACCAUCGGCCGCUAGACCGUCUAUAAUAUAAUCCUGCCGACUCUGCUAGAGUGCAAUCCACUGCUGAUGAAUUCUUUCCCAGUCAUGAUCGAUGCACCUUCGAAAAUCGAUAUGAUGAAGUCUAGAAUCCGUAUCACAAACCUCUGGAAUAGUCUAUCGUAAUCUGAACUGACGCAUCACUCUAUCCGGAUAGUGCCACUCGACGAUAAAAAAGCAUAGAAGUGCCACCCGACACCGCCAUAUAUGCUGUCCACUAAAAUAAUAAUCUAGUAGAGCUGCUAGAACCAGAGGAGUAUAUGACUGCCAUACAAUCUUUUCAUCCAUAGGGUUAAGUAUAAGUAACAUGAACAUAGUCGUUCCAAGAGAUUAUCCAAAUAAUGUAAAUCAGUUAUGUUUAUACCUGCUCAAAUAAGAGACGAUCAAGAUGAUGUCGAUAACUCAGUAAGACAUGGGUAGAAACCUCCAUCACCUCAAAAGCAUCUCUCCACCUACAUAAUAAAAUUAUAAUGAUACGUACAAGUGUACUUCAAAUACAAAAAUUUGAAGUUUGAAGAUUAUAAUGGCACAUACAAUUACAUACCUCAUGGCUAGAGGACCAGCUGGUAAUGCAUCUCCAUCUACCAGAUCCAUAAUAGGAUCUAUAGGAGGCUGAAGUAACCGAUGAGGAGCUAUAGAUGGAAACCUAUCUCAGGCCCACACCUGGAGUAAAAUCAAAGGUCCCGCAAUAUCAUGUGCAUCUAUCCUACUUGCCUUACAAAGCUCUCUAUACAACUAUGCUAAGCCCGCACUAUCCCAGCUGUAGUGUCUUGUAGCCUCAAAAUCAGCAAGUAGUGGCAAAAAUAUGAUAUGCAUCAUAUUAUUUGAUUUAUCUGUAUAUAAACACCCCCCAUCAGUUGCAGAAUAUAUGUCCUAGCAUAAUGCUGUAUGGCUAUCAGGUCUACACCUAGUGAUAGCUCGAAAAACUACUAUCCCAACCAUGCAAGAUUCAAUCGGCAACCCUUGAGUUUAUCAGUAGGUGGGACAACACCUAACAAAUCAAAGCAUACCUGACGCCAGUCCUGAUGUGUGCUACGUAUCACUGGAAGACCAUCAACUGGUAAAUCUAAUUGAAUGUUGACGUCCUCCAGAGUGAUAGUGUACUCACCAGGUGGCAGAUGAAAUGUAUGAGUUUUUGGAUGCCACUGCUCUACGAACGCGGUGAUCAAAUGCCAAUCUAGCAAGAUAAAUUCCACACGACUAAGUUCGUAAAAACUCACUUGCUGUAAAAGUGGAACUAUCCGCAUAUCCAACGGAGUCGAGUGAGAAAAGGCUAGCUUUCGCCAUCGACAUCGAAGAAAAGAAUGCUCUUAUAAACAUGAAAAGAAGUUAACACAAAUCUCUGAGUCUUUAAACACAUCUAAUAUAAAUACAUACCUGUCCAUCUCAAAUGAUGGAAGAUCGAUGGGACGCCUGAGCAUAUAACAUCAUCUGAUCUACCGGCCCUGACUCCAUGUAUGCAAUACUAUAGAAGAUAUUUGAAAAAAAUAAAUUUUUGUUACUGAAUCAAAUAAACACAUAUUUGAGACUCCAUCAAAGAAACACAUAUUUGAAAUAAGUCAGAACAAAAGUAGUAUCACAUUACCACUGAUAAUAAUAAUUUUUUUUCUGAUAAUAAUACAAGUCAGAAUAAAAAAAUUUAUUCUCUGGUUCUUGAACAUGUCCAUCUGCUAUGUCCAACUUCGCCACAAUUUCGGCAAGUAGUUCUGUUUCCGACUUCCAUCCAAUCCAUUUNNNNNNNNNNNNNNNNNNNNAUUUGAGACUCCAUCAAAGAAACACAUAUUUGAAAUAAGUCAGAACAAAAGUAGUAUCACAUUACCACUGAUAAUAAUAAUUUUUUUUCUGAUAAUAAUACAAGUCAGAAUAAAAAAAAUUUAUUCUCUGGUUCUUGAACAUGUCCAUCUGCUAUGUCCAACUUCGCCACAAUUUCGGCAAGUAGUUCUGUUUCCGACUUCCAUCCAAUCCAUUUCAUUCCUCAAUCUAGAGGAUCGUGGUUUUUUCUUUUGUCAUAAUCAUUCUUUCUGUGGUAUAAUGGUGAUGUCACUUGUUUGUUGCACCCAAUAAUCUGCAUGUGGGAUGGGUUGAAAUUGAUGGCUGUAACUAUGAUGAUACUCUAGUGUAUAACACUAAUCAACAUAUCGCCAAAAAUUAAUUGACAUGUGUGCACAGGCAACCAUCAUAUGAUAACACGAUAAAUGAUAACACUGCUAUUUUUGACACAUAUAUGUAUACUCAGAUAACCAUACUAUCUGCAUGCAUAUUAGCUUAUUAGAUCAAAAAACUAUUUUUUAUUUGUAAUACGUAAUAACUUAAACGUAUUGAUUCUACAAAAAUCUACCAUCACCUGAGUAUUGUUGCCUUCAUUGUUAUACGGCCCGCGGAAUGCUAUAUGGACUUGAAAUACUCUACUUAUUCUAUCGACCUUUGUGACAUUAUGAGAUGUUACUUUUGAUUGGUUGGCAAUCACACAAGUUGUAGCAAAUGAAACAAAUCUUUCACCUCUAGUUAAUGCUUUAUCUGUCUGAGCACGUCGACCAUCAAAAUAUAAUACAAGUCGAAAAAAUGUCAGUUGUACCAAUAAAGUUAUCGGUAGAAAGCGUGCAUUUUUUAGUACACCAUUAAAAUAUUCAGAUAAAUUAAUGGUCAUCAUUUCAAAUCUUUGACCACCAUCAUGUGCACGAGAUCAUUUCUCUACAAAAAUUUUAUUCAACCAUUGAAUAGCUUCCGAAUUCACUUUUUCAAUCUUCAUCAUAUAUUUAUUGAACUUCUUAAGUUGUGUUUGCAUUCUGAUUAUUUUCACCAAAUCUCUGAGUCUGGAGUCGCAGAACUGAGUAUUGAAGUUACUCGCUAUGUGGUGCAAAUAAUAAACAUGAUAUGCAUCUGGAGGUUGCUAGUCAAAAUAUUCGUUCUGCAAAGUCGACAAUAUACCGAAACGUCAAUUUGAAAUAAGAUAUAUACCACGAUAUGAUAAAAUAUAACAUCUAAAACAAGCUAAGAACCAGUCCCAUAUAUCAGUAAACUCCUCAUCUACUAUAGCAAAGGCAAGUGAAAAAAUUUGAUUGUUUCCAUCAACAGCUGUUGCAAUCAUCAGCUUCUCUCAAUAUUUUUCAUACAUAAAUAUAGCAUCAAUACUGAUAAUCGGUCUACAGUGUUUGAAGUCUUCAAUUGAUGGUGCAAAUGCCCAAAAAGUAUGAUCAAAUGCAGCUAAUGGAGGAUAAUCGGUGGAAGUACUGAUGAACUUUAUCCAAGAGUCGAGAUUAAAUUUCUGUACAGCAUGCAACUAUUUUGACAAUAAGUCAUAAGAUUUAUCCCAGUCUCUAUAUGUCAAUGCUAUUGCUUUUUGCUUUACCUUCCACAACUUUUUAUAACUGACCAUACAGUUGAAUCUAUUUUUAAUAAUUGCAUCGAUGCCAGCAAUAGAAAUUAUGGGCAUUUUUUUACAACAUCUUAAAUUUCAUUAGCAAUAAAGUUCGAAUCAAGACUAGAAUAAUCCCGAGAAAGCAUAGCUGAAACACAUGUAUGUGGACCGAUAUACCUUAUGAUUUCAAAGUAAUCAUAUCGCUUAACAGCUCGGAGCAUCCAAUUGCAUCCCGAUUUUCUAUUUUUGCAUUUUACCGCCCAAAAUUUUGACUCUGACUCGACAACUCUAAAUUCAUAAUACCUCUCAAUAUGAUACUGUUGUACUGCAGUUUGCAGUUUCAUCUUAUCUACAAAAUGAAGUCCUUUUGACAACUCGACAUCUCUUUUCCAGUUGGUACACCAUACCUCUAAUCCAAAAGAUAUUGAUACAUUAGCUGCCGUCCAAUCAAUUGAUCUAAAUGUUUCAGAACGAGCUUCAAAUACCCCUAAAUUUGGAUGCUCUUCUAUAGGUCCGCACUUUAUAUUAGCAGAAGUACCAGCAUGCUGAGGAUGGAAGUCCAUUUCAUCUCCGCUUCGUAUGUCAUCUUCCUCAAAUAGCUGAUUAUCUAUCUGCACCAUAUCAUCGGUAGGUGUAUAAUUGAUGAUUGUUUGAUAGUGACAUCUGCCACAUCAAGAUCUACUAUAGGAAACUGAUCCUCUGUAUGUCUGGAACUUUGAGUUCUUGGUGCAUGGUCAGUGCCUUAAGUUAUUCUAGAUGGACCAAUUUGUUCAAUGUCUUGAGUUAUUCUAGAUCAACCGAUCUGUUCAGUAUCCUGAGUUGUUCUAGAUGGAUCGAUCUAUUCAAUGUCCUGAGUUAUUUUUAUAUCUCUAUUGGCUACUUCAUAUUCAUCCUGUUCAGUUUCAAUAGACUGCACUUCUAGAUAUAACUCUGCACUCGGUAAACAUGGAUGCGAACUAACCAUUGAAAAGAUUACUUCAAUAUCUUCAUCUUCAUUAAUCAGAACAGUUUCAUACUUUAAUAAUGUCGGCUGCACAAUCUAUGGAUAUCUAUGUAUUAUCGUGAGUCUAUUCUUGCUUUUGUCUACAUGAAAGACUCCGCAUAAUUUAUUCUCCAACUCCUCAAAUUUAAUUCCAGGUGGAAUUCUAAUUGCCCUUUAAAGACGAUCAAUGUAUUCAAUGUCAUUUGGUCCAUAAACUAUAGAACCAUUUAUGUAGCAUAAGACCGUAAUAUUUCCUUCCAUCACUACAUACAUAACAAAUACAACAAUUUUAGCAUGCUCUACAUAAAAUCACCAAUUAAAUACAAAAUAAAGUAAACUACAUGGCUUAAAAUUAGUAAUUAAAAAAAAAAUUAAUAACAAUUCACUUGAAUAAAUUAUGUGACUCGAUAAUUUUUUACAAUAUUAUAAAAUUUUACAUACUUAAAAAAAUCUUAUAAUUAUUAAUUUUAUCUUUUUCACUUACAACAAUUCAAAAAAAUGGAUAAUGAUAUAAAAAAAAUUACCAGGAUGAUGGGGGCACCGAUGAUCGGACCGACAGCUGGGAGGACCAUGGAGGGGGGAAGGGGCCCAGGGAGGAUGACCCUUGUCGAAGGGGAGGGGAGCAUCGGGGGGCGGGGGAGGGGGGUCCGACGAGCGCGAACCGAGGGUGACGACACAGGUGGGCGGGGNNNNNNNNNNNNNNNNNNNNCCGUGGAGGGGGGACGGGGCCUAGGAAGGACGACUCUUGUCGAAGGGGAGGGGAGCACCGAGGGGGGUCCGAGCAGGCGCGAACUGAGGGUGAUGAUAGGUGAGCGAGGGGGACCAUAGAGGGGGGACGGGGCCCAGGGAGGCCGACCUUGUCGGAGGGGAGGGGAGCAUUGGGGGGUGGGGGAGGGAGGGUCCAACGGUCCAGGAGGCGAGACCGCUAUCGAAGGGGAGGAGAGCAACACGAGAUGAUCGGGGAGGUGGGGACCGGAGAAGAAACGUGACCCCAGGUCACGAUUUAAAAUAACAAAAAAAACAUGGGAAGAACCCACGAAUUCUUGAAUUCGUGGGUUAAAGGCACGAAUUAACUUAAAUUCAUGUUUUCAACACACGAAUUCAAACAUCAAAUUUCAUGUAUGGACGCCACGUGGUCUAGAGAAUUCAUGGAUUCAAACUUCAAAUUUCGUGCAUGGACGCCACGUGGACCAAAGAAUUCGUGGAUUCAACCCAUAAAUUAUCCAUGUGGACAGUGAAUUCGUGGGUUGAACCCACGAAUUUAUCCUACAUGCCCAACCCACGGUAGUUUGGUAAAUAAUUUUUCUACCAUGAUAUUUUUAGAAUAUUUUAUUAAAAAUAUAUUAUUUAAAAAAAAAUCCAUAGAGCUAGGCCAAUUUUAAAUUUUUUCAGGCUUGUCCUACUGAUCUAUUUUUAGCAUCCAAGCCUGCCAAAUUUUGAAUUGAGUUGGAGGCACCAAGUUGUACUAGCAAAAUAAACAGGGUUUGGGAGGAGUUGCAAGUUAAGUCAAGCCGAGUUAGUGUUGGAACCCAUCCGGUUUAAGGUGCGAACUAGAUUUGUAGGUGGACCGGAUAAAUAACCUAUUUUAAAUGGCAUGGGUUUGAAAUUUAACAUGCAUUAGGCCAUCAAACCAUGUAUUUGUUUUUGAUAUAAAAUGUGCAGGAGAAGACCUUUCAUAUUGUAGAUUUGCAGUAUUCUUAUCUUUAACUCAAUUUAUAUUGGAGUGAGAAAGAUGCUCUUAUUGAACCAAAGAAAUAGAAAUUGAAGGACAAUAAGGAUUAUUUAAAUUUAGGUUACUAAGAACUUGUGAAUUCACGUAUGCUUGGAAAUGGCCUGAGUUUAACCAAGAAUUUAAAAUAUUCAAUAGGUCAUGAUCCAAAAUAUUUAUCCAGAUCAAUGUAAAAUUUGGGAUAUGGGCAGACUAUUUCUAGCCAAUAUUCAAGAAUGGCUUGAAACUUCUGCUCAUGGCUAAUAAUCCUGCUUAGGGCCUAUUUGGAUAAUCCAAUUGGAUCCUUAGGGUUGGAAAUAGAAUGUAUAUGGUUACAAAAUAUAGGCUUCGCUCAGCCCAUAUUAACUAAGCUUUUUCCAGCUGAUUCCUAUAGGAAGUUUUUAAAAAAAAUCGAUUGGGUGUUUUCUUCCUAUAGAAUUCGGACCGAUCUAUUAUAAAAUUAUUUAUGAGAUUUUAUAAAUAUAGACCUAUGAUCCUAUAUAUUGGUUGUAUUGGUCAAAUUCACGCAUUCUAUAAGAUUUUCAGCCAAAUCCUGUAGCCCUUAGAGAUAAAAAAGAUAAAGAAACGUGGAAGGAAACGCAAACAGCUAGACGCAUUAUAUGUGUGAUCAUAUCACGAGAGUUCUCGUUGUAUGAUAUGCGGGAUAAUUCCAAAUUAAGAUUUAACACUAGAAUGAUAGUGUCUCAUAGAGUUAGCAUAUAACUUGGCCUCAAUCAGUGCCAAGAAGUUGAUCUAAAUCUAGUCAGAGAAUGGGUUAGAGUGCAUAUGGAGCAUGUCAUAGGGAAUUAAGCUUCUUAUAACUACUAGCUUGCUAUUUGUAUUCUGGUUCAAAUUGGGAAAAUAUUUCAAGACCCAUCUCAAUCAUGUCAAUUGGACCUCGGUAUUACUUGAGUAUUCCUAUCAAAAUUACUGAUAAAUGGUUGGAAAUAUUCAUGGCCAAGUUCUCCAAAUAUAUGAGCCAAAUCAAGCGGUCAAAGCAUGUAGUUCGGGACUGGGUAUCUUACUAGGAUUCCAUCGGAAUAACAAGACUACUUUAUAGGAGAAAUUACCCUGGAAGAUAACAUAAGAGGCUUUUAUGAAAAGCUUGUCCAUUUUUUGCUUUAAGAAACGAAGAAGAAGAGAAUAUACGUUGUUGACAUGGUAAAGGUUAUGUUCUCUAUUCCGGCUGCUGAAUUCGCAUUGUGGACCCUUGACAAUACCACGUUAAAGUGGAAGGUGAUUCUUUUCCCACCUAGUUGAGGGAAUCAACACCUUUUGAAAUGAUUGCCUCCUAGUGUAUCCAAUUCCUCAUUGUAUUAUGGUGAGUGCAUGUUUGGUUGGAAAAAAUUAAGUCUCUAAAAUAGAAAUAAAAAUGAGUGAUUCUCAUUUCAACCAUUUGGUUCGAAGAAAUCUCAUUUCUAUUUUAAUUCUGGAGAGGAAUAAAAAUGCUGAAAUCCUCCAAAAUAAUUUUAUCCUUUUCUAAAAUUCAAAUUCUAUUCUGAUCACGGGCCAAACAUGUUGAAGAAUAUAAUCGCUCUGAUUUUCAUUCUGAUUUUAAUUUUGAUUCCGAUUCCUAUUACGAAACAAACACAUCCUAAAUGGCUUUGCUGCUGUAUGAAAAGUGAAAGGGUUAGUUCCACAAUAUUGGUGGACGCAGGUUUUUCUCACAUCAAUUUAGGCAGCUUUAUCUAAAGAUAGUUGGAGUUGCCAUUAGGAAAAGACCACCUCUAUGUAUUUUAGCAUUUAUCUAUCAGCAACAGCCUUACCAAUGAUGAAAUGCAUCAUCACUAACAACGAUUGGAGUUCCAACGUUUCUUCCAAAUUCCAGCUUCAGCAGCAAUCCACCAAUCAACAAACAAGAAUUGAACAACCACUGAUGCUCUCAACAAGCACACUACCUUGUUAAUUUCAUUUAAUUUCUGAUGUCAGGACAGGGACUGUAGAAAGAAGGAAUCCUCCUGAUGUCAUGAAUGGAUGAUUGGUUGGUAGAUUAUAUUAUGAGGUUUUCUUUCAUUUGAAUGGUGUUUCUUAGAGGGCAAAGGACUUGUCGGAAUUCAAAUGUGUGCAUCUACUAGGAACCUCAGUGGAUAUUGAGUACAAUGAUCUGCUAGCAAAAAGACUUUUCUGAUCCGAUAAAUGCCCAUGAUUCUGAGCUUGGAGAAAAUAACAGUGACCUUAGGGGACAUUGAGUAUGAGAACCUGCUUCUAUAAAGACUCUCUUUUGUGAUCCAAUAAGCUUGGGGAAAACAGUAGUUGCAUGCUGUAAUUUGCUAUUGGGUUAAUUAGGCUGACCACCAUUUCAAUUUGUGAUUUUAAUUUUGGCUCGCCAAAUCAAACAUUGUCGGUGUAGAUCUAAAGGACUAAGGACAUGUUAGAUGCCUAGACCUCGUAUCCAUUUGAUAUUUCUGUCAAGCGAAGAGGUGUGGCUGGGUCUACCUCAUGGUAAGAGUGGGAUCAAAUCCAGGUAUCUUUUAUCAACACAAGAGGCUCCACUCAUAUGAGAAACUUUCUAAAAAUUGAUUAAAGGAUCUCAAUAAUGUUAUGAUUCUAGGAAAGAUUUUAAAUUUUUAUUGCCUACACUCUGUUUAGUCCUUCUCAUCAAGAUUUACCAUAUUGAUUGACGUCAAUACAUAUUAAUUAUAAUGUACCAUAUUAUAUACAAUCAAUAUAUGGUACAUAUGUAUAUCAAGUGUUGGUAUGUCGAACCAACUUCUAUACCAGACAAACUAAUAUAAUAAUAGAAUGAUAUCAGUAUAUGAAAUCGGAUACCGAGAUGGCGAGCAUGACAGAUUAGUUGGACACUCAAAUAGUUCUUGAAUGAGAUAGGCCUUGCAGCAUUGCUUAGGGACCAAAAUACCACCCCUAACAUAUUGAGAAAAAUAUGUUUGGGGUGAAUGAAUGGUCAAAGCAGCAAGAUUCCAAGGAUCCAAACUUUCGUACCAAAUGGCAACACGUAAAGAUGUAGAAUUUCUGAUGAAGACGUACAUUUCACGUACAAACAAAAACAAGAUGUCAACAUGCACGGUGCCAAAAGAAGCGUGUGUCACGCACUGGUUACCGUCCACUAAAAUUUUUUUUUUCUCGGAUAAAGUGAUAAUGGUAUCAUACUUUAGCUCGUUUAUUUUCAGUAUUUUUUCUUGUAUCUUUAAAAUGAGAACUAAUUUAAAUAGAAUGUAUUCAUUAAGAUUGAUACAAAUUAAUGAAGUUUUUGAGAGCAAAUAUGCAGGGAACCUCCCCAAUCACGCAUAGAUGGCCAUAAACUUUGAUGUUACAGCAUCACAGGUAAUAGCAUCAAUCUCAUGUUGCAAUACUACAUGAAAACAUUCUCCAACAAAACACCAUGGUGAUUGUUCAUAGGCAGCCAUGGGAGUGGAAACAUACGAGGCCAGAGUCACUCCCCACUCUGUCCCUGGAACGUUGGGCAGGGCUGUCCCCACGACAUCAGCAUGGGAUGUGACCUGACUCGACCAAAUGGCCUCUGACUCGAAAACACCUUAUAUGGUCCUAGACCAACUCCAACUCCUACUUUUGACGCAAUGGUGUGUCCCAUUUUCCCUGGGCUGCCACAAUGGGACUCCCUUUCCUUUCCACAAUCCUGGAACUCUCUCCUCUGUCCAUCACCUUGGAACUCUCUUUUGUGUCAUACUGGCCUGAGGGUGGUGAGAACUUUUAACACGUGUGGAAGGAGAGCUAAGUUGCUCCAUCCCUUGUGGAAUCCUCCUAUGGCUGGGUUGGGUUGGGUUAGGUUGGUUUCGUGAUCUCUUUAAUGAGACAUGACUUGGUUGUUAAAGUUUUCCAUUUGCCUUCGGAUUCUUCUGGGAUCUCGGGAGAUUCAGGUACGCAGUACAUUGCCCCACAAGCAAUGUACGUUGGUGUCCACUAGCAGAUGUGGCUGACACUACCAAGAAGAAAAGAAAGGGGUAUCCAAAUGAUCAUAUCUAUUCAGCAUAAUUUAAUGGCUGAGAGUACGUGAGGAGCUGACAAGUACGUGGCUCCUCUGAAUCACGCGAUAUUAAAGUGAAUGAAUCGUCUGACAAAAAAAAAAAACUGUGAACUAUUUAUUAUGACGGUGGCUUGCAUUUUUUUUUUUAAAUGAAAGAUGGCUUGCAAAUAGCCGGAUUGUUGCUGAACAAGAACACAUUAUUUCAAAUACUUUUCAGAACAUAUUUGGUUGAGAAAAUAAAAUUCUGAACUAGGAAUAAGAAUGGAUGAUCCUCGUUUCAUUUGUUUGGACAAAGAAAGUUCUAUUUCAAUUUCGAUUUUAAACUUUCAAAAUUCUUUCUCUACUCUGAUUCCUCCUCGUAUGAGAUCUACAUAUUUUAAAAUAAAAUAAAAUUAAAAAAAAAAGAGAAGAGUCCUAGAUGGCUCAUGAAUUAGUUUCUGCCCUAAGGUUGUAUUUGAUAGCCGACAAUCUGGAUACAAUUUAAAGUAAGUCCAUUAAAUUGUUGCAUUUGAUAUAUUUUUUAGAUGAUAAUUCAAAUUAUCUUGAUAAUUUAUAUUACUUUCCAUAAGAUAAUCUAGAUAGCUUUGGGAAAGGAUGAUUAUCCAAAUCAUCACUUCUUUGAUAGUGUUGCAAUAAAAAGUUUAAAUAAAAUUAUUUUUAAAAAAAAAUUACACAAAAUCCGUCCCCCUAACCCCCCUCUUACGGCACCACCCGCAGCUCCUCCAUGCGUGUCCCUCGUUCACGACUCCUCCAUCUCUCUUCGCCUACCCACGGCUUCUCUACGCUCGUCCCCACCACCCCCACGACUCCUCUGCUCGUGCCCACCCCCACGCCCAUCCCUCCACGACCUGCAGCUCCUCCACCCUACAUUUGCCUGUGGCUCCUCCACCCUCAUCCCCCACCAUCCCCCCAUCCUCGUGCCCAUGGUUCUCCACAGCCCCCGUCUCAUCGCUUCUUUGCAUCAUUAUCACACCCAUACCAUUCCUGCCACUUCUCAUCAGGAAGAAAGAAGAUCACCAGGAUAAAAUUAUUGGGAGCAUUUUGAAAAUUUGAUUUCACAUUAUCGAUAAUCUGAUUGUCAUAUCAAACAUGUCUAUCAAGAUUUUUAAUAAUUAUAUUAUAAUAUUAUCUGUAUGUACCAAACACAGUAAUUAAUAUUACUGAUAAUUUAAUAGUAGUAAUCAAUUUUGAAGGCAAUCCAUAUUACUUUCCAAAAUUAUCUAACCAUCUACCAAACGCAACCUAAGAUUUUUUGCCAUAGGAGCCUUGUAAUGCGGUAAUAAAGACGGCAACAAAGAAAAAAAGAUAAAAAAAGAAAAAUGGACACGACUUUGUUGGAUAAUUGGAUGAUUGAUCAUAUCUCGAUUUUAAUAAAAUUUUAAUAUAUUAUUUCGAACAUCGAGAGCUACAAGUUGAACAGUUUCAAUCUUUAAAAUGCCUUCUUCAUUAACUAUUUUAAGAACCCACAUAUGAUGAAUUCUGUGCUUUAUUUUUAUUUAUUGUUAAAAUCCAUCUUAUUGGUGAUAAUAAUUUUUAUUGUAGAAAUUAAAAUUUAAUCUUAAUGAUAUAUAUGUAUAGUCUCUAGUUAUAUAGAGAAGAUAUGCAGUAAUCCUAUUAUUCUAAAUAGUAAAAAAUUCACAUUGAAAGAAUUUCACAUUAAAAGUUAUAGUAUCUCUGUUUAUAGAUUGCUUGAUUAUUUUUACUUAUUAAUUAUCUGAGUAGAUUAUAUAGAUUAUUGUUGCUUUACGAUAUUCUCAUUAAUUAUAUAAAGAGAGAAAAGAAAUUGGGUAUCAUUGUUUCUUGAUUAUAGUUCUUUUUAAUAUACUCUUCCUAAGAUUCAAAUUCUAUUUCGAUUCCCAUUCUGAUCAUAAACCAAAUACGUUGUGGGGUAUGAUCAUUUUGAUUCCACUCAUGAACCAAACAUGCCUUUAGGAUGUGCUUGUUUGUGACUCGAAUCAAAAUCGAAAGUAGAAUAAAUUGAAAUAGGAAUUGAACAGACAUAUUCCCUGACAUAUCUGAUUCGUAUCUAAAAUUAGAAUCGGAAUCGAAAUUGGAACAAGAUUUAAAUCCUUAGGGAAGAGUGUGGAUUAGAUUUUAGAGGGAUUAGGAUAUUUUCAUGUCCUCUUGAAAAUGGAAUUGUAAUAAGAUUUCUCCCAAUCAAAUGGCCGAAAUAAAAUUACUCAUUCUUAUUUCCAUCCAAAGCCCAACUCCUCUCAAAAAGAAUAAAAAAUGCAUUCUAAGUAUGGAACAUGGAAUCCAAGCAAGAGUUAUGUUGAAUACCAAUUUUAUGUGGCAAGAAUCUACAGUUUUAUAUGCUUUUAUAUAGAGGUGUGCAAAUGAUUCGGUUAUCCAAAAAUCGAACCAAACCAUUAAUUAUUUUGAUAUUUGGUUUUUUUUGAAAAUUUUGAUUUUGGUUUAAAAUUGAACCAAAAUUUUUUAAUCGGUUCAGUCUUUGGUAUUUAAUCUGAUAUUUGAUCCCUUUUGAUUUAACAUUUAUAUUUGGGCUAAAUAUUUUCUGAAUCUGAUGGUCCAGUUAGACCAUGCCAAAUCCCACAGUAGAUAACACGCUACGUUACCCCUUGUAUUUGACCAAUUCCCAAUUGCACGCCAUCCACCAUGCAUCUGCUCUAUGAAAGAAGAUUCCUACUUUGAGUUUAGAAUAGUUCAUUUUCAAAUGUUAAUAUUCUGAGAAUAUAUUUGUAUAGAUUUUAUUUUAUUUUUUCUUUAUUUCUUUGAUGCCUCAUUUAGGUGAGUCAGAUUGAUAUCAUUUCUUUGGAUGAUAUUCAUGUUUAGGAGAACGUAUGAUAAAAUCUCAAUAUAGAUUUAAAAAAAAUAGAUUAUUUUUUAUAAUUUAUUUAGUCUAAUUUUGAAUCAGACUCACUUAUCACAUUUCUUCUAAAUCAUAGUCCACCUAAACUAAGCCCAAAUGCAAUUCUGUAGUCUAAAUAAUGAAAUUAUUAAAAAAUUUAAUAAGUCUAAAUCAAAACCAAAAGUUCAGUGUAAAAAAAAGCACAAAACCAAAUUAUCGAACCGAACCGAAUUGAAAUUAUUUUGGUUUGGUUUGUUUGAUUUUAAGCUAUUUUUUUUCAAUUUUUGGUUCCACAAAAUGCAAGUUCGAAAGUUCAAAUUUUCAAAACUCUGAUUCAAUUUAAACCAAAAAAAUCGAAUGCACACCUACUUCUAUAACCUUCUUUCAAAAGAAGCAUCCUAUAUACUUGUUCUCUCCAUGUGAGUGUAGGAGGCUUGUAUUGUGCAAGCCUCUUCCUCAUCCAUGUCCCAUAAAUGACCAAAGAAGCAUCUUUUAUUCCAAGAAAAGAAAAUAGUUAUAGCUUUUUACCAAAAAAAAGAAAAAAAGUUAUAGCUUGGUCCUAUGUUGCAAUAUUAGUUCGAUUGAAGUUACUUUUCAGAUCCAAGAUUCAGGCCAAAAUAAUGGAUUCGUGCAAUAUUUCAUAGGGAUACUAAAGUCCAGAAUUUGUUUAUUUAUUUAGCAAGCCUCAAUCUGAUUCUUGAAGGUGCUCAAUUUUAAUUGUGUAUUGUUAAAUGAGAGAAUCUUUUUAAAUAAGAAAAAACUAUAUAACAACCACUCUUUUUAAAAUUUUAAAAAUAAAAAUAUUGAUAUUUUUAUUUAACCUAUAUAUUUUAUGUUUCUUAUUUUCUAAUUUAUUAAAUUCUUUAAUCCAUAUUUUAUAUUUCUUAUUUUCCAAUUUUUAGAUUUCUUUUUUAUGAAUCUAUUUUAACAUGCAUUGAACAUGUCCAAUUUCUAGUAUCAUACUAAUUAGGAUCCCAACCUUUGUGGCUAAGUUUAGACAUCUCUGUUGACAAUCAAAAUAUUGUCAUGGUAGUUGCAGUGAAUUUCAUCCAUUAUUUGCUGUAGCAUAGUUGUUAUCUGCGAUGGUUUGAACAUACAUUAAACAUUAUUUUUUUGAAUAUAAUACUAUCCACAAAUAAUGGACACAUAUUAAAAUUUUUAUGAAUUAUCAAAAUGGCUAUCUAGAAAAAUAAUUAUGAGUAAGAUUAGACCAUGACUAUAACAUAAAAAUUAAUGUUAUAAUUUUAAGCAACCGAAUGUCAACCAACUGUUUUCCAUCAUUGAAAGUAAAAGAAAUAUCAAAUAUCAACCUUCCUUAUCCUAUUGAUGGUCUAUAGUGGCUAUUUUUUAAUAUCCCAUAAAAAAUGUAGCAUCAUGAAAGAGAGACCUUGAAACACCAUAAGCAUAGGCACAUCCGAAGAGAAUAUGAGUCCAAGGGUGGCAUUUGUUGCCUAACAAGCAAGUGAUCCAAAAUUAGAGGGUUCAAGUUUCGUAAAUAAUCUAGAUCAUAAGUGUUUCAGCUAUUGACUUAACAUGCUUUUAGGAGGCAUUUGGUGCAUUACAUAGGUAAUAUUGCUAUAGUAAUAUGAUUGCAGAGGGAAUGUGAUUACCUGAUAAAAUUACAGAAAAUCCUAUAUUGCAGUGUUUGGUAUAUGCAGUAAUAUUAUUGUAAAAUUAUAGGGAAUCCUACAUUGCAGUGUUUGAUAUACAAUUUAGAUUACAUAGAAUAUAAACUAAUUUUUUCAAAGUAUCACCAUCCUUGCUUAUUAAUUAUUAUCUAUUUUUUAGAGGGACAACUUAAUUUCGGGACCAACCAUUUUUCGUGACAUCACCCAUUGUGUUUUCUUUUCUAUUUUCACCAACUGGGACUAUCCAUAAUUUAUUUUGGUGAGGAUAUUUUGGUCUUAAAGUUAUCUUAUUGCAAGAUUACAUAUAAUCACAUAGCCACCACCUCCUAGGUAAAUAGAUUACUUCUUUUUGAGGUAAUUCUAUAUAAUACAGCAUUACCUAUAAAAGUGACAAAAUAAACAGUGUAAUUUAAUUACCUGUUACAAAAUUACAUGUAAUCCUGUCAGGAUUACAUGUUACCAAAUGCCCCCUUAAAUGGAUCCAGUUUGGAUUUAGAAUCUUGAUCUCUCUACCAUGUUUUGACUCAUUUAAUACUUGGGUCAAGUCAAUGCCAUUGCAACCAAAUACAUCCAAAACUUGUUUAACAUGUUUAAAGCAUUAAACUUGUCUUUGAUAUAUUUAAAGCUCAUUAAAUUUAUUACAGCAUACCUAAUCAAUUUGACUGGCUUAUCUAACAAUUUAGUAGAUCAGGUUGAAUUAUUAGCUUAAAAAAAUGCCAGUUCAAUUCAGAUUUUGACCUAUUUAAUGAAUAGAUUACAUUAGAUUAACAAAUUUUUCCCAAUGUCCUUGUCCCAAUUCAAGUCAAAUCCAACCUGAUUGGGCCCAUUACCAUGCCUUGAUACGAUCCUAUAAGCAAGGAAGGUUAGACAAAAAAAGUUGAUUAUUAAUCAAUUACAUAUGUGUGUUCACAUUGACUUAGGCUUGGUAAUUUUGUUUGUAAGUUAACAAAUUCUAUUGUAAUAGGGUGAUAUUCAAUGAAAGAAAUGGUGUUCAUUAUCAGCAAGAAAUAAUAUUUGCAUUUACUUAAACAUAAUUAUUUAAAAAAUAAUAGAAAAUCCAAAUAUCAAGCAAGUUAUAUAUAAAAGCCUAUGUAACAAGUUUACCUAUGUUGGGAUAAGUCAACCAACCCCCGACUCCAACUCUACAUCGGCCUUAUGAACACAAUACUCCGACUAACAAUCAGUUGACCGACCGACAGUCGGCUAUUAUCAAUCAACAAUGGACAACUUGGUUAAUCUCCGAUCAAAGACUAUCGGCAUAUCAAAGUUACCGAUCGAUGCUCAUUCAGAUCUUCACUACUACCGACCUACAUCAGUUACCGACAUACAGUCAGCUUAUCUUUCCAUGAUCACAUAAAGUCGGAAUGUGCGAAACUUACAUAUCUAACCGUUAUAAACGAUUAUCAAAUACAUGUCACGAUCAUUAGUAGGUAUAAACAAUCAAUUAACUCCAUGAUUAUGAUCCAAUAAUUUAGUGUCAUAAAAAGCAGAACCAAGUGCUCGACGGUUACAUCUGAAUCACCUAUAAAAGGGAGGUAAAUGAACAGCAUUGGUAAGACAAUUCUGGGCUAAGACUUGUUAUUUCAAAAUUCUCAUCUGCUGUUCACCACUCCCCACUGACUUAAGCAUCGGAGAGUCUCCGUCGGAUAAUUUCGGUCAAUAAGGACUUCUUUUACAUAUGCUCUUCUCCAACGACGGGUGCAAUAAGAGAUUGGCCACAAUAGAUUGGCACGUCCGGUAGGGGAAAGAAUACAAACAACCAUGUCAAAAAUUAGAGCUCAACACUCGACAGGAUCGGCGAGACAGUCUUUCCACUGGGAUGAUAUUCCUCCCCCACCUCCAGUAGAAGAGCCCAGUUCUUCACGUCCUGUGAUCACUACGGACGUACAAAUUACUGCACUUAUCAGCAAAUGAAGAUACUAACGGAGGUGGUUCAAAGUCUCCAGCAGCAGCAAACUUAGCAGCAAUAGUUGCCGGUGGUGGAGCUGGUAGCUCAGUUAGUACCAUCUAGGUACAGCCGUCGUCCACCAUGGCAUUCACCCUCCUUUUCUCCAGAAUGACGACCAUCUCGAUACUCUCACCGAGACAAGCAGCCACAUUCUCGACACUCCCACCAUGCCACCCAUCAUUCACGACGUUCUCCCUCUCCUUCUCGUGCACAUAGUAUUAGGAAGGAGAAAAGGCUGCGGACACCUUCUGCCUCUCCAUCUUCAAGCUCUUCAGGGGGUUCUAUCCCUGGAGUUUUCUAGCAAUGGCAGUUUGACGACUACGAAUGUAAGUUCAAAGAGAUUGAUCAUCAGCUUGCCCGACUUCAGGUGGAAGGUCAGAAGUCCUCCAACGACUAUGACUUUCACACUAUUCUGCCUCUUUCUCAGUGCAUCCUGAAUGAACUGAUUCCAUCUCGGUUCAAGAUACUGUAGAUGGAGCCAUACGAUAGCUCUACCGAUCCGAUCGACCAUUUGGAGAGCUGUAAGGCUCUCAUGAUGAUCCAGAAGGCAAUUGAUAUCCUCUUAUACAUUGACUUUCUGGUAAUUAUUCGGAAGGCUGCAUGAGCCUGAUAUUUUGGAUUGCAGUCGGAGAGCAUUAACUCCUUUGAGCAGCUCAAACAAUCUUUCAUGGCCCACUUCAGCACUAGCCGAAGGCCGCCACAGACAUUAGACAGUCUCUUUUCUAUCAAGCAAGCUGAGACAGAGAUAUUGAGGCAUUUUGUGGCUUGAUUUAACGCGGUCACACUUGAGGUCUGGGAUCUCAAUGAAGAUAUGGCCAUAUCGGCCAUAAAGAGAGAUCUGAGGGGAUCCAGAUUCAUGUAUUCUCUAGACAAAACUCUCUUUCAGACCUAUGCUGAACUUUUAGAAUACGCAUACAAGUAUAUUCAUGUAGAUGAAGCUAUUUCUGACUGAUGCCAGACAGACAGAAAAUGUCAGAAAAAGAAGCAGAAGAAAAGUGAAGCUCUGACUGAAUCAAGUAGGCCGACUAUCAAUAAGCAAGCUUCACCUCGACAACGGAGUCCGAAGUCGAAUAACUAUGGCAAGUAUGACUCCUAUACUCUUCUUUCUGCUUUUCGUGCACAGAUCUUGAUAGAGAUCAAAGGAGACGAGUAUUUACGACACCCCCCAUCAAUAAAAGCACUAUUGAGGAGCCAUAACAGGAAGAAGUAUGGUCGGUUCCAUCAUGAUCAUGAUCACAAUACUGAACAGUAUAUCCAGCUCAAGAAUGAGAUAAAGGCUCUGUUUCGACAAGGCUACUUCAAAAAAUUCCAACGCGAUCGUCCGACUCAACCUCCCACUGACCAACGACCUCAAUCGCAAGCUGAGAAGAUAAUCAACAAUCGACCAACGAUGGGAGUAUCAACACAAUCUUCGAGCGAUCAAAGAACUGGGGGGCAACUUCCAAAGAAGAGUCGACGAAGAAAUAAUGACUUGAUAAUGUAAUUACUUUUUCGAAAGAUAAUGUUCAGAGAAUUCAAAUUUUUCAUAAUGAUGCUGUCAUUGUUUCGAUGACUAUAGCAAAUUAUGAUGUAAAAAAAAUUUUAAUUGAUAAUAAAAGCUCAACAGACAUUUUGUUUUACUCGACUUUCUCAGCGUCAGGCAAGUUGUUGAUCUCCACGCAUCUCUCUGACUCUAUUUCUUAUUGAAAAUCAAACCAAAGAGAAAAUAAAAAAAAGGUGAACCAAUCGAGUAAUUGAUUUUUAUCCCACUAAAAGAAGAAGAUCCUGAGAAGACGAUCCAAAUUGGAUUGUAGUUGUCUGAUCCGGAGCGGUAACAACUAAUAAAUCUACUAAGAACAAAUAUCAAUAUUUUUGCUUGAUCGACUAUUGACAUGCCAGGCAUUCCUUCGGAGGUAAUAACCGAUCAGCUAAAUAUUGGUCCAAAGGUUAGGCCAGUGAGACAAAAAAAAAGAUUUUUUGCACUUGAAAGACAGAAGGUCAUCGAUGAAGAAGUCGACAAGCUUCUCGUAGCUGGCUUUAUCAGAGAAGUUAAUUAUCCCGAUUGGCUCACCAAUAUAGUGAUGGUGAGAAAAGUCAAUGAAAAAUAAAGAAUUUGCAUCGACUAUACAAAUCUAAAUAAAGUCUGUCCGAAGGAUAGUUUUUUUUAUCGAAGAUUGAUCAACUAGUUGAUACAACUUCAAAAUAUCGACUCUUAAGCUUCAUGGAUGUCUUUGCUGGAUAUAAUUAGAUUCAAAUGGCACCUGAAGAUGAGAAGUACAUAGCUUUCGUAAUCGAUAAAGGUAUCUACUGUUACAAAAUAAUGCUAUUCAGUUUAAAAAAUAUCGGAGCUACUUAUCAACGGCUAGUCAACAAAAUAUUCAAGACACAAAUCGGACAAAAUAUGAAAGUCUAUGUGAAUGAUAUGCUAGCAAAAAGCUCUCAAACUUCUAAUCAUGUUCGAAAUUUAGAAGAAGCCUUCAGCACACUUUGAUGAUAUCUGAAAAAUUAAAUCCAACCAAGUGUGCAUUCGGAGUGAUUUCUGAAAAUUUUUUUGGAUUUCUUGUGUCAUAACGAGGAAUCAAAAUAAAUUUUGAGAAAAUAAAGACUAUCGUCAAUAUGAAGCAUUCAAGCUCGAAGAAAGGGAUAGAACAACUCAAUGGAAUGAUCACCGUACUCAAUCGAUUCAUCUUAAGGUUGGCAGAAAGAUGCUUGCCUUUCUUCAAAACUUUGAGACAAGCAAAAGAUUUUACAUGGUCAAAUAAGUGCCGACAGUCCUUCGAAGAUCUAAAACAAUAUCUGGCGUCUCCACCACUACUUACAAAAUCAAAGGUUGGAGAAAUUUUGUAUCUCUAUUUGGCAACUUCAACCGAAGCAAUUAGUUCGGUACUCAUCCAAAAGGAUGAAAAUCAAAUUCAACGGCCUAUUUACUACACUAGCAAGGUGCUUCACAAUAAUAAAAUAAGAUAUUCAAAGAUAGAAAAGAUAGUCUAUGUCCUAAUCAUAUCAUCGUAGCGACUUCGCCCAUACUUCCAAGCACUCUUAUUAUCGUCUUAACAGAUCAUCUGUUGAAGGCAAAUUUACACCGACCUGAUACUUCAGAUCGAAUGGUAAAGUGGAUGAUAAAGCUCGAUGAAUUUGAUAUAUAAUAUCACCUACGUCCAUCGAUGAAGGCACAAGUGUUAGCUGACUUCAUCGUCGAGUAUAAUAUACCUGAUAAUAAUUCUGAGGAUGAAUUGAAUGAUAAAAUAAAAUCAGUUGAAACUCCCAAGUCCGAAUCAAUAUCUAUAUCGAUGUUACAUAUUGACGGAGCAUCCAUCGUAUAGGAUAGUGGAGCCGGUCUCAUCCUCACCAAUUCUGAAGGGAUGGUAACCAAGUAUGCUCUUCGAUUUAAUUUUACAGCUUCAAAUAAUCAAACUGAGUAUGAAGCUCUCCUAGCCGGCUUGAAGAUUGCCAAAGAGCUUGAUAUCGAUAACCUAAAGGUCUUCACUGAUUCAUAAUUAAUUAUCAGACAGAUUAAGGAUAAGUUUGAAGUCUAAGAUUCCAUUAUGAUGAAGUAUCUUCAAAAGGUGAAAUAUCUAAUAUCAAUCCUAAAAUAUUUUGAGAUCUUUCACAUCUCAAGAACAGAAAAUGCUCAAAUUGAUGCAUUUUCUUGACUUACAACCACUUCAUUCAACUCGCUUGGUCAGACAUUCGUCGAAUAUCUUGAACAGUCGAGUAUCGAUAAAGUUGAAGAAGUACUACAAAUCAAUGAUGAGCUAAGUUGGAUGGAUCCGAUCAUCCAGUACUUGACUGAUGAAACUUUACCUGCAGAUCCUUCAGAAGCCAAACGACUCAGAUGGAUAGCCUCACAAUAUAUUUUGAUGAAUGAGCAACUUUAUAAAAGGUCGUUUCUCUUCCAUUACUGAAGCAUUUGAGACCAGCAGAUGUCGAUUAUGCACUCAGAGAAGUUUAUGAAGAGAUUUGUGAAAAUCACUUGGGAGGCAAAUUCUUGACUUACAAAGUCUUAUGACAAGAAUAUUAUGGGUCCACUAUGAAGAAAGAUACAGCUGAACUUGUCUGAAGGUGUAAACUAUGUCAGAAAUAUGCAUAUAUAAAAUACCAAUCGACCAGUUAGUUGACAUCAAUUGUUACACCAUGGCCCUUCGCAUAAUGAGAAAUAGACAUACUCGAUUCUUUUCCUCCGACAUCUGAUCAGAAAAAAUUCAUAGUAGUUGCCAUUGAUUACUUCACCAAAUGAAUAAAAGUUGAACCUCUGACACAAAUCACUGAAAGUAAGAUGAAAGACUUCAUUCAGAAAUCAAUCAUUUACAGAUUCGAUCUACCACAUACCAACAUCACCGACAAUGAUCGACAAUUCGAUAAUCAAAACUUCAAAGAGUUCUGUAUAAAAUUUUAUAUUACACACAAACUCAUAUCAGUCGGCCAUAUACAAUCCAACGAUAAAGUGAAAGUGACAAACCGAACAAUCUUGCAUGGACUCAAAAUCAGACUGAAUGAAGCUAAAGGCCUCUGGAUAGAAGAGCUAUAUCCGAUCCUAUAGGCAUACCAAAUAACUCCUCAUAUGCUAAUGAGAGAAUCAUCAUUCAAUCUGAUUUAUAGAACAGAAGCGAUGAUCUCACUUGAGAUCAGAUUACCAUCAGUAAGGAUGGAACAAUACAGUGAGUCGAGCAAUUCAGAAUAUCGGAGAGUCAAUCUAGACUUACUUUCAAAAGUCUGACAGCAAGCUUAAAUUCGGAUGGCAGUAUAUCAGCAAAGAGUAGUCCACUAUUAUAAUGCAAAAGUUAAGCCGAAGGUCUUCCGUCCAGAAGACCUGAUCCUAAAGAAAGUAGAAAUUUCAAAAUCUCUAGAUCAAAAAAAAUUAUCUCUAAAUUGAAAAAGAUCCUACAGAAUAAUCAAGACACUUAGAUCGGACAUAUAUCGAUUGAAAACUCUUGAGAGAAUAGCCAUUCUUCGAACAUGGAAUGCUGACAACUUAAAAAUAUAUUAUCAAUAAAGUUCUUCAUAUGUACAGUGCUCAAAAUGAAACAUUGAAUUUUAGAAUCACAAAAGUUUCGGCCAACUACAAAGUGAUAUUAGAUCAAUAAAUAGAUAGUCAAUUCCUAUCCACUAUAUUUUAAUUUUUCACUGUAAAAAUUGACAAAUCGAUUAUAUCUCGAUUUUCACUGUAAAAAUUGAUAUACCAACUGUAUCUCGGUAUCGACUAUAUCUCGACUUUUCACUAUAAAAGCCGACUCUAAUUGAAUGACUAUUUAUGCCGACUUAGUUUUAACUAAGCAGAAUACUAUGCCAAUACGACACAGAUCGAAUUGAAACUAUACCGACUUAACUACGAUCAGUCGAAGGAUAUUCGACUUGCCAUCGAUGUGCCACAUUUAUCAAAUAACUAGACAUAUUGACUUGAUUAUGGUCAGUCGAAGGAUAUUCGGCUUAUCACUAUUUAUCCUAAUACUUAAAAGAUAAAGUAUGUCAAUUGAUAUUAGACUAACGAAUAAUUCUAUAAUUACUACUGAAUGUUCGAUUCACCGAUCGAUAUUCGAUAAUCAAACUAUGAUUCUAUGACAUUGUAGGUACAUAGAAAGGAAGAAAGAGUUUGCACUUGAAAAAAAUUCUUUCAUUCAUUGAAAAGAAAGUUACAAAAAUUAGACUAAAGUUUGAUUACAAAAUUUUUUUAAUUACAAAAAAAAUACUACAUCGAUCACUAGUCGUUGUCUUCAUCUCCUUGCUUCGAUGCAGCAUCGACGACUGGAAUAGCUUUUGGUGCAGUCAGUGCGUCGUCUUCGAUUGGCAUAGCCCCUUCUUCAGCAGCUUCAUCUCCUGAGGCAGGAGAAAUGAUGCUGCUCAAGUCCAAGUCUGGAUAUAAUUUUUUGACCGCAUCUCGACUGUCCUCGUACCCGACACAGUAGGAAGUAUAUCCAUCUUCGAGAAUUUUUUUCUUGAAUUCUUCAGAAUUUUUAAAGUUCUUGAUAGUCAGACUCUGGGCUUCCCUCGUUAACUCUGCUUCAGCUCUCGCAGAGGCUGACUCGACAUCAGCCAGUGCCAACUUUUCCAGGAUGGUCCGAUGUCUUUCGCAUUCUGCUUCAAGUUCUUCAAUGCAGCCAUCCCUCUCUUAUCGGAGCUGAUGGAUGGAGUACUUCUUGCUCUUAAUCUUAGACUCGAGGUAUGAGAUAUUCUGACGAACCGACUCAAGUUCGGCUCUGGAGGAUUAUAGAUCAACUGUCAUUCAGAAGAUCUGCUCCUGAAGUUUCUUCUCUCAUUUGGUUGUCGUCUGGUGUUGUUCAACAGCAGUAUUCUUUUCGAUAGUGAUGGCCACCACCUUAUCCAUCCAUGACCAACAAAAGUCGGCGAUCUUUCGAUAGUCGCUCUCUAGAGCAUACAUAUCGUGCGUCCACUGAAAGCAGAAGACAAGUCAAGUCAGAUAAAAAAAAGAAGAAAUGUUAGAAAACUUACCUCGAGUAUCAACGAAUAAAAAGAAGAAAAUAUUUUAGCAACAGUCUGAUUCUUCCUAUUCUCCCGAUCAGUCGAGAGAAGAGCAGCUUCGAUGAGCCGCUUGACCAAUACUGGAUUGGCCAAGGCUGACUCACCCUCGGAGAUCCAAAUAUCGAAAAGAGUUGAAAUACCUGCAGAUGACCUGUCAUCGACUGAAGUCGCUGAUGCCUUCCCUCGAUCUUCGAUCGACAGUCCCGUGCUUGAAAAUACUGAGAAGUCGGAGCUCGACUACGCUCGAGAAUGUUCUACCAAAGGAACGAUUGGCACAGUCGCAGACUGCUCAGGUUCAGUUGCGACUCCCACCCCGAUCCGAACCUCUGUUGAUGGAGCCACGAUGGUACUAUUGCAGUUCCAUCCUCUCCUACUGUCCCAUCUUCAGCAGACGGUGCCUCAGGAAGCAUUGUCGUGACCGACAAUGCCAAGACUGGUUCGGGAAUCAUCUUUGAUGGAAUGUCGGAUUCCUUCACCAGUACCGAUGGAGUAAUGACUCGACCUUUCUUCGACGGUCGGGAGGGUCCAGCUUCAACUGCUGUCUUCUUCUUGAUAGUGUGCGAGCGGAUAUCAGCAGCCGACACUCAUGCUCUUAGCUAUAUAGCUGCAAUCAAAAUAAAGAAAUCAGUAUAAAGUUUAGAAAUAGACAAGAAAAAUAAAGUAACCGACUAUGUUAUACCUAAAAAAGUGAUCGAACUAAGCCCGGUAUUGUAGAGAGCUUGUUUAAUCAUCAGCUCUCAUUAUGGUGGAACUGUCAUGUCUUUCAAUUGGAGAAAAUCUUUUCGAUCAUCAACUUCCACCCGACUGUUCUUGUUGAGGCCAGUCCUUAGAUCACCCCAGCACGAAGGAAAGCCCCAGAGAGAAGAAGAAGAGACGAAAAAAAUUUGAUUCUUCCAUCUAUAAAUGGACGAUGGAAGACUGGUGAUAAAAGAAAGGCCUUUCCUCAGAUUGAAGAACCACCAACCCUUAGCCUUCGGAUGAGAAUGAAGGACAAAGAAAGAAAAAGGGAAGGACGAGGAACAAUCGGUAUAAGCUGACACAACAAAGCAAAGCUAUUGAUCAGUCGGAUGGAAUUUGGGGCCAGCUGAGCAGGACAGAGGCUAUAAUAAACAAGAAGAUUUCAGACAAACUUCAGAAUCGAAAAUCGAAGACCAGCCCGAAGGUCCUCGAUAUAAAUUGCAACCUGAUCCGGAGGAGAGGAAUUUAUCCGACCGUCCGAACCAGGAGUGAAAAGCUGAUACUACUUCAGGAUAUGGUACUAUUUUCGAAGCUGUGCAAUGUUGGGCUCGGAUAAGGAAGAAGCUUCCAUUUUCAGAUCUGAAAGAGAGUCAUCGAUCGGAUUUCCCGACCGACUAUCCUGAGAAGAAGAAGCUUUUCUAUUAGCCAUGGAAAAUGGAGAACUAGAAAAAAAAACCCUAAGAAGAGAAAUCUUAGAAGAAGGAAAGGGGAACUCAACCUGAAAUCAAAAGUGAUGCAAGAAACAGAACUCGGAGCUCCUAGUACUGGGGCGACCUUUCAGCAAAACCUUCUGUUGCAGAGGAUGAUGACAAAUGCAAAAUAAAGGCUGGAUGAAAGUGACUGUGUAUAUAUAGGACCCCUCAAUAGUCCAGAUGAAAUUGGUCAAAUCUGGAUUUCCUCAGAUGUCGACACGUGGCGACAUCAAGACCGACCAUUGGUCAGACGACUCGACACACCUGCUUCUAGAUCGUGCCACCUCAUCAUUAUCCACAUGAACAGUUCAGAGCUAAUGAUGUUUGGAUACGUGGCCAAGAUCUAUUAGUCAGAAUCAAAUCAUCCGGAUUUUCUGAAUAUCGGAUUAUCUUUCUGAAACGACAGUCCAAUGAUGAUUUCACAGCUAUCGAAAUAGUAAAAUAGCUAGAGAUCUCUCGUAUUCCAAAAAAUCAUUAAUACCAGCAGUCGAGUCGGGGCUCGAGGUAGUACGUGACAACUUCCUUCAUCCAAUGUGACAGACCAUGUGAUAAUAUACACAUUAGACCAUCUUGAACUUGAGAGUGGGGGGCAACUAUUGGAACAAGUCAACCAACCCCCAACUCCGACUCUACAUCGGUCUUAUGAACAUAAUACUCCGACUAACAAUCAGUUGACCGACCGACAGUCGGCUAUUAUCAACCAACAACGGAUAACUUAGUUAAUCUCCGACUAAAGACCAUCGACAUAUUAGAGUUGCUGAUCGAUGAUCAUUCGAAUCUUCACGACUACUGACCUACUACAGUUACCGAUAUAUAGUCGGCUCAUCUUUUCACGAUCAUAUAAGGUCGGAAUGUGCGGAACCUACAUAUCUAACUAUUAUAAACGGUUAUCAAAUACGUGUCACGAUCAUUAGUGGGCAUAAACGAUCAAUUAACUCCAUGAUUAUGGUCCGAUAAUUUAGUGUCAUAAAAAGUGAGAUCACAUGAUCGAUGGUUACAUCUGAAUCACCUAUAAAAGAAAUAUAAAUGAACAGCAUUGGUAAGGUAAUUAUGGGCUGAGACUCUGCUAUUUCAAAAUUUUCAUCUGCUGUUCACCACUUUUCACUGAUUUAAGUAUCAGAGGAUCUCUGUCGGAUACAAUUUCGGUUAGUGAGAACUUCUUUUGCAGGUGCUCUUCUCCGACGAUGAGUACAAUAAGAGAUUGGUCGCAACAAUCUGAAUUUUUUAUUUCAUGAAUAAGUGGAUGACAUUUUGCUAUUACAUACUUUAGCUUUACUAUUUAAUCCUGUAGUGUUCUAGUUGAGUACGAGAGGUCAAGACAAUUUCUCCAAGGGGCCCAACACUAUCUUCUAUGGUGGAGAAUCCUGAAUCCCAUGCAAGGUUGUAUUUUAAAAUUUUGAUCCAUAAUAAAUUUUAAGCAAGACAAAUAUUUGUGAUGUUGGAAUAAUGUAUGCACCAUAGCAACUAUUUACAUGUAAUUUUGUAACACCAAUUAAAUAAAUUAUGGUUAUUUUUUCACCCAUAGUCAAAAGGAAUACUAGGUGCCUACUGUAUAUAGAUCUUAAAGUCAGAAAAGAGUCCAAGGUCCCAAGUACUUAUAGAAAAUCCUCUUAAGAAAGUGACUUUCAUGACAAUUGGGGACCCAGGCUUGGCAUUAAUUCCACAUUUUCUAUUGUAAGAAGAAAGAGUUCCUUGACAUCUAGCAUUUGAACAGGGGGACUUGGACAUCCUUUAGUGGUGUGAGAAAGUGUUCCAUGGAGAGGAAUAUAGGAAGAGAGAGAAAAAAAAAGUUGAAGAUGGAGAAGAAGAGAGUGGGAAAAGGAUGAGAAAAACAAAAGGAACAAAUUCUUGGAGUACUUUUUCAGUGGCGCCUCUUGAACAUGGCAUAGUAGACAAAAUCUUUAUCAACGAAGCAAUAUUUUAAAUUAGAAGGAAUCUUGUAAUAGUUAAAACAUUGAAUUAUGCACCAUUGAGGGAGUGGCGUGACGGAACGAGUUUUUACUUCCAUGCAAAUGACACGGAUUCGAGUUUUGAUAAACGUCAGGGCUUUGAUUAAAUGAUAGAACAUGAUAACCGGGAGGGAGCUGAUCCUAACGGCCUGGGUAUGGGUACGUUAUGGACCGCGAGUUAAACAGGCCAAUCCAUCAAAAUUCUAAAAAAAAACUAUUAGGAUUCUGCGGAUGGUAUUGGUGGGUGUGGGGAAGCUCGGGUGGAGGGGUUGGGUGGAUUGAAAGGAGAUUUGGGUUUGGGGUCGAUAGUAAUUUUGCCCAAUCCAAAUUGACAGCUCUAAUUGGAAGCAGUUUCUGAUCUGUCAAAUCUUAAUGAGGACAUAAUUUGAGAACAUUGAACCAUACUAUCCAAUCAUAUGUGCGUUUGAGGAUCUUAGAUGGAUCAUUAUUAGCAUGAGUCCAAGCAAUAUAUUGCAUUGAUUACCAAUAUCCCUAGCCAACAUACAUGCGCAUGCAUGAAUAUAUGCAAGGACUCAUGCACACACAUCAUGGAUUGCUCCAAGAUAUAGAUGGCCUCAAGAAACCACUACCACAUAAUGCCCUUCUUUGUAAUAUAAAGUGGAAUGAAAUGGCUCUUUGCAAUUACAUCUCUUGAUGGGCCACUAGUUAUUGAACAAUUAUGAUUUUUUUUUUUUAAUGAUGAGGCAGAUGACUUGUUAUGAUAUAUGGAAUCAUAUAUACCCAAUGUCCAAUAAUGACAAUAAUAAAUAUGAUCAUCGAAACUAUAAAUCAAUAUGAAGCAUCAUGUUUGUGGUCCAAAAUUAUACAUGAUGUUGCUGCAAAGUCUCCAAUCAAGCUGCUGCGAAUGGGGUCACUUUCCUAUGGAUAUGAAGUUCGGUGGCAUUAAUCUAAGAAUUGGCUCUCCUUGAAAAACCACCCAUCGGAGAUUCUUGCAAGGGAUCCUCCGAUACUUAAGUCAAUUAGAGCUUGAGAACGAUGAGAAUUGGAGAGAGAAAGUGCUCUUAUUUUCUUGGUGAGAAACUUAUUUGAGGAUCCUCUUUGCCUCCUUUUAUAUAGAGGAAAGUAGUUGUGCAUUACUUCCAAAUUUGAUUACAAAAGUAGAGAAUCCAUGCCCACUAAUCCGGGACCGUAGGUUAUUAAUUAUAAGUGUCAUAUGUGGGUAUUAGACAUGUGAUUUUGAUUUACAAAUUUAAAAUUGAAGGGAACCACCCAAGAUUCUAGAAAAUUAUGUCAGAUCAAUAUUUCUUUAUUAAUGGCCCGAUGAUUCGAAGUUCAUCUUGCAUCGUCGGCAUAAAUCCGACCCCAUGGCUGGUGUGCAUCUAAGUUUGAGAUCAGAUUAUAGCUGAUGUCAAAGAAUCAUCUUGGCAAAACGAUCUGGCCGUCCUAAUAUUCGAGGAGGUCCUUUGAUGUUAAUGUAGCUUUCGCAUAAGUCAUCGGUGAUAGGUCCGAGGCGAGUACUUGGUCUCUACCUGAGGUAAGGAAGGUCGAGGUCGGAUGGUUGAUUCCUCCCAUAACACAUAGUAUCAUAUCAAGCCAUGUAUGAUAGAUGUACAAUAAUGCUAAUAUAAUAUGCAAGAUGAUGAUAUAUAAGUUUAUUUUGAUUCUCUAAUUAAAUGUUAUAAUUAUUGAAUCACUUAAUUAGGAACUAAUCAUUUUUUGAUACUUUAUACCGAUUCCUUUGAAUUGGGGGAACAAACCACAUCAAUGAUGUUCAUGAAAUUUCUAAAUAAAACUUAAUUCACUGAAAGUGAACAUUCUCUUUUGUGUGCACAAAUCCAAUUUAUGGUUCAGUGCAGAAAGACAUCUUAUGUUAAAGGUACAUAAAAGUAUUUGAUGCCAUGGUAGGAUGAAAAUCUUACCAAAUUGAAUAGCAAUGUAUUUUAGGGAAAAAUAAUGGCAACUUAACUCCGGUGAGAAUCUAAAGUAGUUGAAUUCUAGAUGUUUCUUUGCAUUCAUUUCCAUAUUAAAAAUUGAGAUUUCAUAUAGAAAUAGAGAUGAAAAUAGAUAGGAUAAUAUCCGUCCGAAUUUAUUUUUGUAUCCAAAUCUAUUUAGAUAUGAACAAAAAUUGAAGCAUCCAACUCAUAUGCAUAUCUAUAUUCAUUAAAAAAAUGAAUAUGGAUAUGGAUAGAUAACUAUUCGAUUCAUGUCUGAAUAUUAGAUUCUACUUAUAAUUUUAUUUAAUUUUAUAUAGUAUUUAUUAAUUUUUAAAAAUAUAUAUAAUUAUAUUAAUAUGCUAUUAAUUUAAUUUAUCAUCUAUUUAAUAAUAUCUUUAAUUUUGUGAUCGUAAAGUUUUAUUAUCUAACUUAUAUCUAUAUUUAUAUUGAUCCUUUCUGUAUCUGAUUUGUGCCCAUAUCUGUUUAAAAUAAAUAUGGAUAUAAAUUUUUAUAUUUGAUUAAUAUCUAUAUUUGUAUUUGUAUCUAUCAUAUAAAAUAAAUAUAGAUAUGGAUAAUGGUAUCUAACCCAUAUCCGAUCCGGUUUCGGCCUUUGGGAGAAACUUUGCAAUUUAUACAAUAUUCUUUACAAUUAAAUAUGGACACUUAAAAAAAAAUCAUAAGACUAUUUUUAAAACUACAAUGAUGACAUCAAACCUCUUCAACUAAGAGCCUCAAUAUUAAGACAUAUUCAUGAUAAUGAAUAGAUUGGUGUAGACAACAUAGCCAUACAAAAAUUAGUAGAAUUCCUGCAUUUAGUAGGAGUUAAAUGAGAUAUCCAUGGAGACAGUCGAAUACAAAAGAGAAACAUAGUUGUCAAUAGAAUGUAGUCACCUUACCUCUUUCUGAAUAGCCCAACCAUCAUUUUUUCCUUGACAUACUCAUGAUCCCACGAGGUUUAAAUCAUCUUUUGUAUGAACCGAUGGUCUAGUGGUUGUCCUUGUUCUCUCAAUAUCUUGUUAAGCAGGAAUUCACCAAAAAAAAAAAAAAAUACUUGUUAAGUGGGAAAAGUCUAGGAUUGAAACACUUAUGAUGGCAUUUCCAUCAUAUUUUCUUCAAAAAAAAAUAUUAUUCUAUAUGUAUUUGGAGAGAUUUUUAUAUGGAGAUGCAACCUGCUCACACAUUCAUUGUACCCACAUAUGUAUGUCAAGUUGUUAUUUCCCAUAAAUAAAAAAAUAGAACAUUUAAUAGAUGCAAUGUACAAGAUAGGUUCAAAACUAAUGCAGAAAUUUCUAUGCAUUAAAUUAUAAAUUAAACUACAGAUACUUGGUGAGUGACUAGCCAGUUUUUGACACCUAAUUGAAUAAUACCAGAAGUUGAAACAUGUGCUAUGCAUGUAGUAUUUUUUUUCCCCUUUGAAAGUCUUUUAGGCUAUCUCAUUCAUACUCCUCCAUACAAUUUGGACAAUAUUUAAUUUAUGAUUCCUCUUGAAUAAUAUGAGAUAAAUGAAUAUUUCCUUUGGUUGUCUUGAUCUAAUAGAUGAAUAGGAUUACGAUGAUGCUGAUAUAAACAUGCACCGGUGAUGCAUUGUACUACUCUAGGGCAUAAGCAUUCGAUAGAUAGCUACGAUCCUAUAAAUCAGAUGGGAUUACGGAAAAAAAAAUACUUGAGAAGUCCUCUGUAGAUCAAAAAAAUGAAUCUUGUUAGGCUUAUCAUAAAAAGNNNNNNNNNNNNNNNNNNNNNNNNNNNNNNNNNNNNNNNNNNNNNNNNNNNNAGAAGUCCUCUGUAGAUCAAAAAAUGAAUCUUGUUAGGCUUAUCAUAAAAAGAAAUUAUGCAUCGAACUGAAAAAAUAGAGUUAAACACUUGUGAAUAUGAGAUUUCCCCUUAUUGUUAGCCUCAGGAAGGUUGGAAAGAGAUGUGGAGUACAGUUUCUCAUGUUAUUUUUAAAUUACAUUGAGGUUCUCCAAUUAAUACUAGGCUAGGUUUUCUCUGAAAAAUUAAAAAAACAACUCCAAGUUACAAAACAUGCUUUAGAGAAAUCAAGUUAUUGUUAGGCUAUCAAUCCUUUUCCAUCAAAUCAAUCAAAAAAAUUUUUCUAUGUAUUUUUUAAAAACAGAUUAACAAACAUGAUUAGGAGCUGCUUAUAUUACCGGAAAAUAGUGCUGGUACAUCGUUGUCCUAUUUCAAGUUCAAAUUGUAUCUUUUGUGCGAAAGAAAGAAUUCCCUUUCUUCGCACAAAUCGACAAUUGGAUCGAGCAACAGUUGCUUUGAAAACUAUGCGAUUAGAUAAAUGGAGUUCAAAUUGCUUUGAGAUUUAUAUGGAAUAUGAUGGUUGCCAACAUGAAAAGAGGCCAAUUAUUAAACCCACACCCCCUCCCUCAGAAAUCAAAACACCAAUCCAUAUAUUCACCCCAGACAUUGGCAUUUCAUGUACAAAAAAAAAAAAAAAAAGGACUGGUGUUUCAUGUGGACCCCAUAUGCAAAAUGAGACAAGUGGCAACCUAGGAAGAAUAGAUUCUGAUGCCCUGCGAUCUGGACCAUCCAUCAUAACUUUUCCACCCGGGGGGCGUAAAAUUUCAGUUGUGGAGUCACGGGUGUAGCACCUGUUCCGGGGGAAUAGCAUCUGGGGAAGGGAGAGACGAAGGGAGGGGACUGGGGAGGAGGAAGCACCGUUCGCACUUCUCUGGUACACUUGGAUGACGGUGGGGAGUGGGAAUGCGCGUAACCCAACUUGCCUGGCUAUUAACUGUUCCAAUCAAUCGCCCCAACUUCUCUGGAUCUACCACCCGUUGGAUCCCGAUCGAACGGUUAAUUGGAGGAAUUUUACAUUGUUUCCGCGCACAUCAUACGCAAUCCCUCCCGAUACGUUACGUUACGUUACGUUACAUCUCGCGUCGAAUUUUUCUCGCUUCGUGGACUCCACGUGUCGGACAAACGUGCCGAAUAACCGGAAAUAAAUAAGCGUAUGAGGCGCUCGAUAUAUUCCGAGAGCGUAUCGCGAUACGAUAUUUUCAUCCGGGAAUUCUGGAGAGAAGAAAUGAGGACCGCUGCUUCCGCCGGCUUUCUGGAAAUAAGUACCGAUCGGUGGUGGAAAAUUCCGUAACGGACUUUGCGUUCUAGCCGUUGGGACAGCGUUCGCACCUCACACGGCGUAUGCGGCCGAUGUGGUUGUGCCCUCCACCAGGUCCGGCUAAAUUUGGUUCAUAUUUUUGGAAAUUAUUAAUUAUGUAAUAAAUUUUUAUUUAAAAUUAAUUAUAUAAAAUUAUUAUUUAUUAUUAAAUUAAUAUUUUUUUAUCAAUAAUAUAUAUCGAGCAUUUGAUAAACAUUACUUGAGUUAUAUAUACAAAAAUUUUCACUACAGGAUCAUGUUUAUAAUAUUCAAAAUUUUUACUUUAUGGAUCAUGAAUAUUGCAUCACAUGCUAAAUUAUAUGCAAUGGUAGAUUCAAAUUAGAAAUAGAUCAUCAAAUAUUUAAUACUUUUGACCCGAUCUCAUCUUGUUCAUCUGAACCUAAGUAAGGAUGAUGAAAUCAAAGAAAGGAAAGGGUUUUGGAUUAGCAGGACAUGUCACAACCUUAUACAGAACAUCUUUAAUUUUUUUUACAAAAGAAAUAAUAAACCUUUUUCUUCAAGAAAAAGUAAAAAAAAAGGAAAGAGGUUAGCAUACCGGCUAAGGCGAGAAUAUGCGCACCGCGUCGCGCGCAAGUGAUAAGAACGAGAAAGAAUGAUUCAUCGUCUCUAUACGCCCGGUCUAUCUCGAGUAGUGUUAUAUAUAAAAACCCCCGACCUCCGACCCCUCCUCUCUCGUCCUAAUUCAAGCCGCAACCAAGGCUUGCCCCUCACUUAUCGGAGAAGAAAGACUCUCCCAAAAGAAACUUAUGGCGCUUCGCAAAGCCCUGGUCGGCCGCUUCCUCCACCUCGCCAAGCUCUCCUCCCCCGACCCCCAAAUCCGGCUCCGACCAAAUUCCUCCUUCCUCCCCCAGCGCCGCCCCGUCGUCCUCCCGGCCGUCCCCCCCGACCGCCUCCCCUUCCCCUCCGGCGACCGCCUCCUCGACCGGAUCCGCGGCCUCAACCCGGACCGCAUUCGCCUCGACGGUCUCUCCCCGCCACCGGUGGAGAAGGUGAAGGAUGAGAUGGUGGCGGAGAGGAGGGGGAUCACGGUGGAGGAGGCGAGGAAGGUGCUGAGGGCGUCGCAGAUGGAGGCGGCUAGGGCGAGGCUGAGGGCGAUUCCGAUGAGCUGCAUCCCUUAUUCGGAGUUCGUCGAGAUCUGCUGCGACGCCUCCGGCGGCGAGCAGGGGGUGGGGAUCGCCCGCUCGCUCGACGAAUCCGGAGCCGUUAUCGUAUUGAAGAACGUCGUCUUCCUCCGCCCGGAAUUGGUAUUCUUCUGUUUUCACCCUUUUAAUUAUUUUUAAUCAAAAUUGGGAUUAUUUAAUUUGAUUUUUUUUUUUGAAAAAAAUCUUGUUAUAUAGAUUAUUAUCGAGUUAGGUUGCUUGAAUUAAAUGGUUGAUGUCUGAUGGUAUUUUCUUGGGUGUUUUGUAUUUUCUCUUUCUACAGGAAAUAAAGGAGGGGGUCUAGAACAGUAGUUACGUGUGUGAGAUGGUAACGGUGGCAGGAGGCCGCUAUAUUUUACAAAACUUUUCCUCUAAAAUCCCAUUAAACAUAUGGGAAUUGAUUCUUUUAUACAUAUAAAAAAAAGUGAAUAUCAUGUUGACAAUCUUUGGGAAAAUAGAAGAACACUCAGAACUCUCCAGAUUUGUUGGACCUUUGGGACUGAUGCUUCCUUAAAAAAGAGAGUUUUAAAAGUUAUUUCUUUACAAUACUUUACCCACAAAUCAAGAGAAAGCAUCAUGGUCGACUAUAUUUUUCAGCAUCUAGACCUUCUCUGCUUUGGUAAUGACUCUUUCCUAGAAAUGUAAUUCCAAUGCUUAUCAAGGGAAAAAAAAGGAUAUAGAUAUAAUAUAUAUUACCAAUUUUCCAAUCUUUUAUUUAGAAUUGUUAGAUAGCAUUAGGCUCUCAAUUGUAUGCGGUGCUUUUUAUUUUAGGGGAAUUUUCAUUUGUUUCUCAUGCAUAUUUUUUAAACAUGCCUUUUAGUAUCAUCUGCAUUCUAUUUAUAUUUUUUGGGAUUUAUAUAUGCACUUCUUUUGGUUACUUUUGUCUCUGAUGAUUAUUGGUUAUAUACUUGCAGACAGAAUUUAUAUAUUAAAUUUUGUUUUUGUGUGAAACAUCAACCAGUUUCUGACUUUGCGAAAAGUAAACCUAAUCUGAUUACGUACCUACGGCUACAAAGGAAAAGAUGGUUUGAUGAGCGGUCGACACACAAUAAAAAUGGGUAGCUAGUAAGGAUUCCUCAGAAUAAAUUCUGUCUGGAUUAUACCCGUCCUAAAUUAGUGGAUUCUCUUUUAUUUGCGUUUGAUGAAGAGGCAUCCUAAAAGUUGACCAGAACUAUUGGUCCUCUAAUGGUGGGCCUUGUAGGGAGAAGACAUUUAGUCACACAAGUAAUGUUUUAUGAGCAUAAGUUGAGGCAAAUAAUAAGGUGCUGUGGGGUUCAUUUUAUUGUUUGAAUAUUUAGUGUUCAAUGUACAUAGCUUGGUGCAGUCUGAGUUUUUUUUUUUUAUUUGAUUCUGCAUUCACUGACAAGUUUUUCUGUAGUGAAGUAACUAAAUAAUUCUAAUCAACUAAUCAUAUUUUAAUCUUUUAAUCUUCAAAAGAUUUGAUUAUUUUCUUUUCUGUGGUUUAAGAAAUCCUUAUUAGUUAAGGUAGAAGGUAACUUAGAUUAAAUAUUUCCAUGUUCUCUACUUUGCAUCCUUCAG
rnacentral:lncRNA from 1 species